rnacentral:lncRNA from 1 species
CACAACUCAGUACAGGAAAUUGAUAUAACUAAAUUAAGUGACAUACAAUCACACAUCCAAAUAUCAUAUUAUUAAUAUUAAUGCAUGAAUGCUCUUCAUCUAAUGCCGUUAAUUCAUAUAACUGGACAAACAGACCUACAUGUCUCAUACCAUGCUUAUACCACAUGGUCCCGAAUGCCCAUUUAUAUGAACUAACACACAUCUCAAUCAUCCCAUAAUUUUUCAUUUUGUUAGUCAUUUUGUCUAACUCCUUGUCGCAAGUCCCGUAUCACCCAAUAGAAAUCAUGUGCACUGUGGGAUCCAUGAGAUCUGGUACCUACCAAGAGUUAGACUUAACUACACAAAAGAUCAUAUCCAUUACCCUCUUUUCCAUCAUUAUUUUCUCAAUCCAACAAUUCCAGCCAAUUUUCAUGACAUGAUAUAAUUAUGCCUUUCACAUAUCCUAUAUAUCUUACAAUAAUGUAACCAUUUAAAAUAUCUCCAAUGUAUAUAUAAUUAUACCAACAUUGUUCAAAUAGUCAAGAAUAUGUAAACACCCAAUAAAAAGGAAUGUCAACCAAACUGUAAUACCAUGCAUAAUAUAAUGCCCACGAAAUUUAAUUAAAUCAAUAUCUGUAAAAGGCCCCCAAAAAACCUCCUACCUUGACACCAAAGCUUUUGUUAGAAAUGUAAGUUGUUUUCCAAUUUUCCACCGCAUCCAUAAAUUCUGUCUCCCACUCUUUUUUCUUGAUAAUUCUACUUCUUUCUACCUUUAUUUCUCUCUCACUUUCUAUUUUAUUCUUCGUUCCAUUGCCUCUACACUUUUCUGAAUAGGGAAAUGGGACUUGAAGAAACAAAUGUUGUAUUUAUAGGACUCCAAUGGCGGUAACUAUGAGAUAACUUCAAUGUUUAAAGAUCAACUCCUUAUUUCUUAAAGCCCAAGUAGCUUUUCUUUCACUCUAAGUCAAAGAAGGAUAAGAAGAAAUAUCAUGAGGACACUUAUUGAUGACUCAACAUUUAUUUCAUUGAUAUCUCAUUAGUUUGCAAGUAAAUAAAACUAGUAAACCAAUUUGGCUACCAUGUAAGUAAUUUGCAUAAUUGAUCGACACAUACUAACUACAUGGAGCAUAUAAAUAACUCAAUUACAUAGCCAUGCAUGAAAUAUUCUAAGUAGAUAGCCAUGCACCAAAUCCUACUGCCAUUAACUAAUUUUAAUAUUCAAAGAAAAUUUUAAGAAAAUCAUCAAAACUAUAAAAUAAAACAAUUAAAUAAAACAUAGACUUCCAUAAAAUUAUUAUAAUACUAUAAUUUAUUAUAAAAGUACAACAAUUAUAAUUAUCAUAAUUUGAUACUUUCCAAAGUAAUUGCUUUUAAAAAAAUAAAAUGUUUUGACCUUUCUAAAUAAACUUUUAAGAAUACGUAUUCUCUCAUUUAAACUGACCACCCUUAUACUUUUUAAGUCUUGGCUCGAACGAGAGGAGAGUGAGGAGACAUCAUGUGUGGUGACAAAACAUUAACACUGUCUUGAUCAAAUCUUCUGGUUGAUGAUGAUGAAAAGCUAAGCCUCAGAUUGCUUUUCCAACGCUUAGGGCUUUUAACUUGUACUGCUUGAUCUUGAGCUUUCUUCCCUUGGCGUACAAAUGUUCUGAUCCUUUUGAGUGCAACUUCCACAGUCUCGUCAUCCAUGUUUGCAAAACAAACCCUAAACCAACCAGGCUCCACGCACUUAAAAGAAGACCCUGGGGAGACAUUGAGCCCCACUUCAUUCACAAUCACACGCCAAAGCACCAUCUCACCAUCAAAUGUUUGAUCUUUCAACAGCCUCCUUAAGUCCAUCCAGCAAAAAAGGCCGGCAUUGCUCUUCAAGCAGUUGAUUCCCACUUCCUCUAGCCCCUUUGUGAAAACCCCAUGCCGCUUCGCGAGCCUCUUGGAGCUUGUCUCCAGGAACCUUGCCACAAACUCUUCAUCCAAGAGCAUCGACGCGAGCAUGUGUUGAGUUUGGGACGAAACCAGCCCGAAACUUGACAUCUUGCGGCCGAUGUUCACCACAUCAUCAUUGUAUGAGUAAACUAUGCCGACCCUCAAGCCCGGGAGCCCCAUGUCCUUGGACAAACUAUAGACAAUGUGGAUUAAAUUGGGGUUGCAAUUCAUGUUUUGUAUGACCUCGGAGAUGCAUGUGAAAGUCGGGGAGCUGAACACUGUAGCUGCAUAGAUUUCGUCACACACCAAGUGGAUGUUCUUUUGGUUGAUGAAUUCCACAAGGCUUUCGAGUGUGUCUCUGUCCAAGGUGGUGCCCAAUGGGUUUGAUGGGUUUGUUAUGAUCAAGCCCUUCACGUUGAUGUUGUUCUUUUGGGCUUUUUCAUAGGCGGCUGCAAGUGCUUCCUUGGUUAUUUGGAAAUUGUUGGAGCUAUCGCAAUCAACCGGGACGAUUUGGACACCAGUUCUCCAUCCCAAGUCUCGGUAAAAUCUGCAAUUAGAUGUAUAAAUCUUAAUUAUGACCGGAAAUGAUUGAAAGAUUAAUGACUUGUAAUUAACAUUUCAUUAAUGCAUAGUGGUUAAGUAAUUAACGUCCUUUGUGGUCCGUCCAUGAGUUUGGUGAGCAAUUUAUUUCCAUACAUACGAGAAUGGAAAUUGAAGAGAAUUGUAGGGUUUGACAUUCAAGUAUAAAGACUGACUUUUCAGAAAGAUGAGAAAGAAACGAAUUUGGAAUUUUGCCCAAACAUCCAGCUGUAAACUACUCAGACUAAUCUUAUUGAUGCGUAUUGCUUGGAGUCUUGAAUGUCAACUAUGGAGUCAAAAGCAACUAAUAACAAUAUUAUUAUACUCUUAUUACUUAUUAAUCAACAUUAAAAUGACUGCAAGUUUGAUAAAUAUCAUUAUUAGCCGACUAAUUAAAGUCUAUGCGAGGUCGACCUAAUUGUCUCCUGAUAUGGCAAUUCUCUGACCAAAAUACUUAUUAAAAUAUAAUAAUUUAUUAUUGUUUCUUAGAUAUUUAAAGUCUCUGUAUCUUGGAGUCCAGUUGACGGCCGAUAUAAAAUCCCAAAUAAGAUUUCAACCUGAACAAGUUGUUUUCUACCAAAUUCUUCAGCCUACAACUACUAGCCACUGCAUUGUGUCCACAUAUUAAGAACACGUGGUCCACCAAACAUGAGGUAACGCAAGGCUUUGCCUGAAUUCUCAAAUAUUUGGCAGAGGGGGUACGUGGUAUAAUUAGCAAAGUACGUAAACAACUAAAACACAAGAUGAUAUAGACAAAUUAAUGUAGAAAAUAGAAAGGAUUUAAUUCUUACGCUGGAUAGUAAGGAGAGGGGACGAGGAAGGCGUCGCCGGGGUCGGCCAGACAGAACAUGACCAGCUCGUUCGCUCCGGUGGCUCCACCGCUCAUCACAACCCGGUUCGGAUCAAAUGUGACUCUACCACCUCUCGCUUUCGACAUGAACAUAGCCACAGCCUGAAAAAUAUAUUAAUUAAGACCAUGUAAUUAAUUCAUGUAAUAGAAGGUAUACUAAUCGUAAUCCAUGCAAUAUAUAUAUAUAUAUACACAUACCUUUCUGAACUCGGGAAAGCCAUGAUAGUCUUGAAAGAUGGCCACGUUCUUGAACUCCUCAACUCCCUCGGGAGUGCAGAUGGAGGCUUUGGGGUUUUUCUUAAUCCAGUCUUCGAUCAAGUCGAAGGAAAGCUGAAAACCAAAACCAAAACAAAAGUAAAAACCCAUGCAUUUUGUUAUUUAUACAUAUAAAUAUAGGGUUGCUCCAUCUCCAAAUUUCUCUAGAGCGAACCUGGUUUUCUGCAAGACCCAUCUGAAUAACCCCCUCGGGGUUUUUCGUUGGGUGGAAUGGGUUUCUAUCGUACGCCUUCCACCCAUCGAAGUAGGGUGAGUUCUCACCAUGGCCCUCGCUGGUUGCAAUCUUGGAGAGUAACAACCGAUUCGAAGUUGCUGAUGAGGAGCCCAUUUUCUUGGUUCCAAAGAAUACUCACACACAAGAAUAAUAUUAGUGGAAUUUUAAGUGAGGUUUGCAAGCAAGCUAUCAAUUGUGGGGGCAAUGGUUGAGAUGGUGUUGGGAAUUUAUAGGCAGAUGAUGGCAGAUUGGCAAGCAGGAGGGGAAGCAAACGUUUUCAAAGGUUUUUUUUUUUUUUUUUUCCUUUUCAAAGUUCAACUUUGGAAAAACCGACCCCCCAGAAUAGAAAUAACAGAAUUUAAUUGUGUUGUUAUUGGUCAAUGGGCGUAAUUGCUUGCGUGUUGUACGUUGAUAUCCAUCCAUAUCCACGUGUACACCAGUAGUGUACUUGUUGGUGGUCCUCACUAUUUUUUCCAUGAACUUCUUUCAUGAACUUCGUUUCAAUUUACAUAUCACUUGGUGUUAUCGUUUCACACAAUAAAUUUAACGAUAUAUCUAUUUUCAAAUCACAAUCCGACCCACUCUAAACCUUAUUUUUUAACGCCUUAAACACACACAUAUGAUGAACGUAUUUAGAGAAUCUUAGUACUAAUUUUUUCUUUUUCUUUCAAGUGAUGUGUGGUUGGUUGUGUUCUUCCUAGCGAUGAAGCUUCCCUGAAAGCACCAUGAGAGAGAAGAAAGCUUUCGGUGUUGACUAGCUUGAAGUAUACAUGAGACCAUUUUUAAUUUGGCCGGUAUUUGGACUUAUGCACCAAUAGUAGUAAAUGCACAAGACACACACAUGUAGGAAAGUCUCAAAAUCUAAAGGGCACUGCUAUUUUCCUCUAGGUUUCCUUUUCCUCCACGGUUUCUUGUCAGAGUCCAAGUUUUAGUUUCAAAGUAUCCCACAAAUUUUGCCUAUUUUGGUUUCCGCGUUAAUGAGCUCAGUUUGCAUCACAUUUACUCCAUUUCCAAAAGUUAUGAGGGAAUGCAUUUACUUCCCGUAUAGUUGGGAAGACUUUUAAUUAAGCCACAUCUCAAAAUCGCUUCUUCACACGGUCACAAAAAACUACUGAAAUUAAACGCAGUCUGUUUGGGGGUUUGCCUCUUGUUACUCUAUAGGGAUGUACAAAUUUCAAAAUUUAGAUCCGAAAGAUAAACAUGUACACCUAAAAGUAGUAUAGCGCCAACUAAAAGUGAUGAUUGUUUAUUUGACUUUAGGGGAAAUUGUCACUCUUAUUGGUCCUUGAUUUUAACCAUCCCUUUCACAUUUCGUUAAUACGGGUAUCUAGGUACUUGAUAUACUAAUUUCUGAUUGCCAUGUGUAUGUAUGUAUUGGUUUGGCCCAUAUUAGUAUAGUUUGAAUUUAACAUGUCACCGAUUACUUCCCGACUCAAAACUUUUACGUGUUAUAAUCUUACAAUGAUAGGAGUGGCCCUCGAAAAGUACAAGUGGUUCUACCGCACAGGGCUCCCAAAAAUAUUUUACUUGUAAAUUAUAUAUAUUCUAGCAUGUAACACAUUGACACAAACGUGUGUUUGGCUGGUUUGGUUUCAAGCACAUUUAUCUUCAUUUAAGGCCUUUUUUAGUAGAAAUAAAGUCCUUAGGUGUGCAUUUUUAUUCUUUACAAACUUUUUUUUUCUUUGUAAAAACAUUUUUAUAUAUAUAAAAAAAGCCAUCAGUAUAUAUAUCCUCACACUUUCACCUCCAAUCAACACCAAAAGGAAAAAAAAAAAAGUUAUUCAUCAUCAUCAUUCCUCAAUCUCUCUUUGGCUCUUUUGUUCAAUUCUUUGAGAAUUUUUGUUUUUAUUUCAAAUUCAGGAAUUUCAACACGAAAACAUGAAUAUCCUAAUUCCUAAAUUCAUAAAGACCACUCAAAAUUUGUGCCAUUGUUGAUGCUGAAUUUUAGUUAUAUAAAAAUAAUUGUUUUAUGACAUUAAGGUAUGGAAAAUUAUUAUUUUUACUAUUUUCUUAUUAAAUUAUGUGAGGGUCUCCGUUUAAGUUCCAUACAGGGUCCUCAAAAUCUCAGAACCGGCAAUGAGUGAUGUGACUUUGUGGAACAUCAUGGCACAUAAUUAAAACUUUAUAUCCAGGUAUGAUUUUAUGUACAAAGUUUUUUUUUUGUCUUGACAAUCCGAUAUUUAAACUAUUGUAAUGUAUAUGGAAGGAGAUCGAACCAUAGUGCCAAGGAACGGACAUACUGCAUUGACCAACUAAUAUAACCUGACGCCUGGGGCGAAUCACGAUAAAGUUGAUAACCCUAGCUAGGUGCAUGCAUAAACAAUUUGUGAUAUAGAUAUAUGGGGAGAUUCUCUAAUAAGUAUUUUAUGUUAAUGGCUUGUUACAUAUUUCUAAUCUUGGUCCUUGGAUUGCAUUCAUUAAAUGUGUAGGUAGUCUCUUAGAUGUAUUCCAACAACCAAUAUUAGAAGUAUGUAACCAAUCCUUAACUUAAUACUUAUUGAAGAAUGCCCUUAUAUAUAUAUAUAUAUAUAUAGAAAUUCUCCUGUAAGGACAUUUGGAUGUUAUUAUCGUGCGAAGACGCUAUGUAUUUUGUAUUACCCCUUUAUUCUUUCUUGUCUAUUUACAAUAGCAUCUGCACGAUCCAUAUAAGAAAAUAAUUGUAUAUAUAUUACUUUUCUUUUAAAAAUCUCCAACUGCUAAGUCAAACUUGAGAGAUUAAUUAAACACAAAAGCUUAGUAAUGGAGUGUCCAACUUUGCAUUUGCUUUGUGAAAAAGUUCGAAGUAAAAGUUGAAAAGGAAAUAUCAGGAAACACUAUUAUUAGUGUCUGGACACAAAGUUCUCAUUUGACAUUCUUCGCUUUUCUUCUCUGUUUGGAGCACAAGUUUUGCAGCUUGAUGGGUUGGUGAGAAGCUUUUACAUAUUUAAUAUACUCAAUUCAAACGUCUCUCUCAGCAAAAUUAUAUGGACUUUUUUUUAAUAGGUAGCACGGGUAAAAAGCCUAGCAAGUCUAUUGGGUAUAAAUAAAAGUGACCUGGAUCAGAUUAAUUAGGUAUUAUAAAUUACUGACCAUCCAGAAUGAGGCAAUUCCUAACUAAUCUCACCCUCUUGUUAGAAAUUAAUCAUCUCCAAUACUGAUAUCGGUGGGCUGAACCAUAGAUUGAUUGAAGGGGUUUUGAGAAUUAUCAAAAUGCGUGUUCUGCAAUAUUGAACUAACUCUACUAACUCCAGAAAGACUAGUUUCUUUAUUCUUUAAUGGAGUUUGAUUGCCAAGACAACUGUAAAUUCAAACAUCAUUAUGUUGACUUCUGCUUAUUUUGCAAGCUUUAAUUUAAUCGUUGCACGAGUUGUAUAGCCGAUUCAUAAAAAUGGGGUUUAAUUUGCCAAUAUGUAUAUAUUUUUUCUGUAUUCUUAAUUUCAUGGGAGAUUGGUAUAUAUCAAGAUCGACAAUAUAACUAGUAUCACCAUGAUGUAAAAAAAACAACUGAGGUGGUAAAAAAAAUCAACAUAGGUGAGCAUUCCAUGCGGUCCUAUGUAGAAUUGGAUGGAUAGACACAAAAGUGGGACCCAACUUGUCUUUUAAUAUAUAUUUAUGUCAAAAUUGAAUUAGAAUUUGGACCCAACUUGAAUUUGGAUAGCUUAACAAAUCAGUUUCCUUAGUUUUACAGGAGAAGGCAAAUAGUCAACUUGAACCUGGGUGUUUGACUUCUUGGUCAGCCUCAGCUAAAUUCUACUAGGCCGUCCACGUGGGUCUGCUGGUCCUCUCUUUUUUUGGCCAAAGUCUGCCCCUCACCUUCUACUCUAUUAUUAUUUCUUUUCUCUUCUCUGCUGUACGCUAAUGUUGUCACGCUGUUAUCACUGUUGAGAUACAACUGCAAGAUGACGUAGACACACCGACUUUUUUAAAAGAGUAUCUCUACACUUAACUGUAUUUUUAUCUUACAUUUCUAUAUCGUAUAAUGUAGCAUAUUCAUAUUAUAUACCACAUCAAUUAAUCAAUGAAGUGUAAUAAAGAAAUUUUAAUUAACAGUAUUUUUUAAAGUGUUAAUUAAUUAUAAAAGAAAAGAAAAUGUUAAAUAAAUUUAAGGAAAUAUUUUUGCUUAUCACUUUAACCUAACAUGUAUGUUCACCACCAUUCUUAAUACUUGACACGCGUCCAUAAACAUAAUCAUGGUUAACUUUUUACUUUGAUUUAUAUAACUAUGAUUAUACUUAUGGACACAUGUCAAGUGUUGAGAAGGGUGGUGAGCAUAUACUUGAGGUUAAAGUGGUGAGUAUGAGAAUGUAGUAUACAAAUAUGAUAAAAAUAACAUUAUUCUUUUUAAAAUCCCCAACUGUUAUAAAUGUAUUUCAUUUAUUUUUUGUCUUGAAAUUACUUUAAACAUUAGUUAUUCAAGAUGAAUUAAAUAUUACCAUGUCAAUUUGUAACUAAUAAUUAGUGAAAUAAAUUGAGGGCCGAUUACAAUGUGUGAGGCAUUUGCAUUGCAAUUGAUUUGAGCACGUGAAUUUUGGAGGCUAGAGUAUCCAAUCGAGAAAAAAAUUGAUACUCAAUAAUGGGUAAAGAAGUCAAGGAUAUUAGGGUUUAGACCUAACACGUUCUAAGUCUAACCGCAACAUGUAUGUGUCACACAAUUCAUCAUUACAUAACUUUACGAAUAUUUUCAAUGUAUCUAUCUUUCACACCCUUAUCUUUGCGGAGAUGAAUUUGAUCCUAAAAAUACAAACAACCAUUGUGAUUUAAGAACUUUAACCUCGGGGAACAAGCUAGAGACAGCCAUGCAACAAGUUACAUUGAUAAGAUACUCAGAGCAACAAAAAUGGAAGUUGUCAUGUUGUGGCCCCAGACAUCAAAACGACUUUCAACAGACAACCCUCAUUCAUGCUCUAAUAAAAUCCAAGGAGCCAUCAAAAUCAACAUGGUAAAACUUAAUCAGACAUGUUCGAAUUACAUCCUUAAUUGGGGAAACACUUUUCCCAGGAACAUGUUAAAACCGUCCAUUUGAAUUGUCUUCAUGUUCUUGCAAAUGUUGGACAGCAAUUGGAGCUUCGCUUACGUAUUCGCAACUCCUUGUGGUUCACAUGAUAAUUAAUUGACACACACAUAUAUACAUGCAUGGGUCUCAUUGUCCAAUUAGGUUGAAUACACGGGUUUCACAAUGUUAUAUAUAGACACACACCAUGAAUCACUGUACAUGUCCAUGAUCCUCAUUGCACAUGCAUAACAAGUAUGUUACAUAUGUACAUGUAGACAUUGACGUAAACAAAAUGUACUGUGUGACACGAACAUGUCGCAGUUAGCCCUAACACAGUCAUUGCAUGCUCUAAUAAACUUAUAAUUCAAAACCAAUUGAAAGUAGGUAAACAGAUCCAAGAAUUUCUACAAUCUAUAUCUCAACAUAUAUAAAUCGUGAUAAGAUGUACUUCUCUUACACUCUCUUCCAUGAAUUUCUACAAUCUAGAUACAUAGAUAUAGCCAUGAUAUUUAACGCGUAUAAUACAUAUAUAGGUAGACACACUGACGGAUUCAGGAAUUUUUUGGCGGAAGUGCAAUUUUGAAAGGCUAAAAGCUUUUUAAAAAAAUGACAACAAAAUAUCCUUAUAAUUUAAACAAUACCAAUGUCAUAUCAUGAAAACGUCGCAUUAUAUUUUCAAGAGUGGAUAAAAUAAAGAGAGAGCCAAAUCAGCCUCUUCCUCCCAAAGUAUGAUAAUGAUCAUACGAAUAUAGAGAUAGUCAAAUAAAUAAAAUAAAAUUAAAACAUAUUAUUAAAAGAAAAACGAAAUUGGUUUGACUAUUCCUGAAGAAAAAAAAGCAGCAUGUUUCAUAAUUAUUUUUUAUAGAUUAACUAUGAAUUACAUUCAAAGUUACUUUGAAAGUUUCAUCGAUACAAUUAUUUUUUUCUUUGCACAAGAUUUGAUCAAUGAAUCAGUUUUUAUAAAAGACUGAAUUCUCUCAAAACAAAAAGAGGAGGAACCAAAAAAAACUAACUACAUGUAAAAAAAUUCCGAAUUUGAUGAUCGUUUUACAAGGACUUCGAUUGGUGUGAUGGAGACGGAAAGACUAUCUCAAAAAGGAACUUUAAAAAUAAAAAUAAAAAGCGAACUCUCCUUAUUGAAGGAGUUUCCUCCUCCUUUUCCAUCUACAAUACGGAUAUUUUUUCUUUCUUUCUUUUAUUUUUAUUUUUUAUAAUUCACAUCGUUUUGACUAAAAAUUUUAUUUUAAAAAAAAUUGACACGUUCGCUGCACGCAGUAGCGCAGCACAACAAAGAAAAGUUUUCUUAUUUGAUGUGUAAGGAAUAAAAGCCGCCAAAAAUGAUUUUGAGAAAAUUAUUAUUCCGAAAAACCAUUUUUCAUACUUAGUCAAUGUUGCACCUCUGCUAAAAAAUUUCUAAGUCUGCCAAUGACUGCAUACAUACGUAAACAAGAUAUUUAUUUAAUAUUUUAUUGAGUAAAAUUCAAGCACGUGUGACAAUUAGACUUGUAUGCUCCGAAAAUCUUAUCUUUAAAUAUACGUGGUAAGUCACUAUAAUGUGGUCCACACCCCCCAUAAAAGCGCACACAUAAUGUACAUCUUUACUCCGACCAGUGGCAAGAGACCUGCAAGAAACCAAGAAACUUCGAGCUGGCUAGCUAGCAUGCCUGAGCCAUCACAUGUCCUAUGAAAUUCCAGUCUUCUCGUGCCUUUUCCAAAUUUUUCUUCUUAGACACAAAAACCAUUCUUCCAUUUUUCCCGUGUGGUUCAGCUUUUUUGUGUGACUUAUUUGCACAUAUAGUAAUAAAAAAUAAUAAUGCAGUUUGAAAUUUCGAGGUCACGAGAAAACAACGAAAUUCAAUUCCCUCAUGCUCUCUGAUCUCAUGCAUGCAUAUGUUUGAACUUCAGCAAGAAAAUAUAUGCAGAUAGUCAAAUCAAUUUAUAUUCAACAACACGCGAACCUCUUACUAUUAUGACCAGUACCAAACAAAAUGAAAUAGCGUUUCAGAUCUUCCUCCAAGUCUUCUCUUCUUCUUUUUUUCGUGUAUCACAUUGAUCAGAAAAGUAAUUCUAAAUUAUGACUAAUUAAUCAACGACUAAUUCAUAUUAACAGUCUAACUUGUUAUAGCAAAUACAAAUUAAAUAAUGAUCCGACAACAAUGUAUAUUAAACUUACAUGUUUCCUCAUGUACAAAGGCUUAGAUUUGAAGUCAUUGACCCCAAGUGUGUUUUUUUUCUUUCCAUUUCAAAUAGACUUUCAAUUUACUAUGAAUAAAUAUCAUGCAGUACAUUGGUAAGUCAUGAAAAUCACAUUCUAAAUAUGUGAUUCUAGAAAACAAUCUCAUAUAGUAGAUUUGGAGUCAUUGACCCCAAGUUGUCUAGCAGUAGUGAAGCUAGCUUUUUUUUCCUUUUCUUUUUUUGUUCUUUUUUUAUUUUUCAAGGGGAGGGGACAUUCUCAAAAUUCUGUAAACAAUUACAUUUAGUUUUGUAAGUCUUUUAAAACUCCUAAAACUUGGUAAUUAUAUUUAUGUUUAUACAUUUAUCUCAUCCAGUUAUAUUUUUCUGUUAUACAUCUUAUUGCUUUUAAACAAGCUUUAAUUUGGGCAACAAGAUUAAAAAUUUUGCUAGUGGAAAUUGAGGGGGCACUCGAAGAUGCUUAUACAAAUCAUCACUAGACAAACCAAUAUACCAUGCAUUUUACAAUCACUUGUAAAAGAUAUCGGACGACUUUUUGGGAAUUUUAGCUUCGUAACUAUCAAGCAUGUUUAUAGAGAGACUAAUAUGAUUGUUGAUGAGUUAGCUAAAAGAGGGCAUCUUAUGUGGAUAUAAUUACUAGAAUUUACUUUGAUAUGUAUAGUAUUAUGAUCAAGGGCGUCUCAUUUGUAAUGUAUUUAUGUUUUUUUAAAUAAUAAAAAGGUCUUUUAAAACUCUAAAACAUAUCUGUCAUUAAAUAAACAAAAAAUAUAGGUAACUUUCCAACAUAUUUGUCAUAAUAAGAAAAUAAUUAUCAUUAAUUAUUACAGAAUGGGUUUUUCCUUGCAUGAAAAGCGUAUUUAGAUUCCUUUCUUCAUUGUUUUGUUCUUGGAGAGGCGGCGGUGUAUGAUAAAUGUGGUGUCAGAAAAUCUUUUUUUGGUCAGAAGUGCUGUCAGAAUCUAAGUCAAACGUUCAUACUAAUCUUCUACAUAGAACAAAGAACGAACUUUGAACCCAAAAAAAAACAAAAGGGUCGUGGCCAAAUAUGAAGUUGCACAUUUUCAUAAGCAAACCCAGAAACUAAAACCUCGAAAGUAUAUAUAUGUGGGCGGAUUCAUGAAUUUUUUAGUGAAAGUGUAAUUUUGAAAAGCUAAUAUAUAUAUAUAUAUUUAUUUAUUUAUUUAUUUUGGAAGUUUAAUCAAUACAAUAUUUUUUUUUUUGGUACAAGACUUGAUCGAUGAAUCAGUUUUUAUAAAGAGUGCUGCUAUUUUCAUCCAAUGGUGGAGCCAGGAAUUCUAUUAAGGAGAGUCAACAUUAAAUAGCUUUAUAGAUACAAUGAACUUAAUUUUUAUAGGAAAAUAUAUAUAAGAAUUCAUUAUAAUGAUUAAAUUUCAAUAUCACAAAUUUAAUAUCUUAGUAAGUAUAACCCAAAUUCUAGCAACCUAAAAAUAAUGAAAGAGUAUCAAAAGUUGAUUUUAGAUAGAAUGAGAAAAUCAAAUAAAAUGUAUGACACGCACAUAUAAAUGACAUAUGAAGACAUGAAAACAAAUAUAGAUUAUAUUCAUGUUCAUUGUAGACAAUUUACAUUUGUGAGAAGGGUCAAUAGUAAGAGCAUCCACAAUAGGAGGGUGUAUGUUAAAUAUACAUCUUUUGUCGCCAAAAUCAUCUCCAAUGGGAAGAUGUAAAUGGUUGUAAAAAUACACCCUCACCAUAGAGAUGUAAAAUUAGAUGCACAUUUGCAUCUUUUUUUACAUCCAUUGUAGGCGGGACCCACAAGAGAAAAAGGGAAAGAGAAGGAUUGAAAUUCAAAAUGGAAGGCCUAGAUUUCAUGCAAUUUGCAUUGCACUUCCAAUGGCCCGGAUUUCUACAUAUAUAUUUUUAUGUUAGUUUGUAGGUAAAAUCAUAUGUUCUCCAAAUUUAAAUUUUUUUAAGUCCAUUUAUUUGGAAAAAUAAAAUAAAUCUAACACACACAAAAUUAAUUUUAAAAAGUUAAAACAUACCCAAAAAAAACACACAAAAAAGAUUUAUCACAAACAAAUCGAAUAUGCAUAUUUGGAUUUACAUCGUUUCUCAUUUAAGCAAAAAACGUAUUUACACCCCCUGGAGGUGUAAAUGGGAUGUAAAAGUGACUUUACACCCCCGAAAAUACACCCCCCUGUGUAUGCUCUAAGUAUAGCUAUAAAAACAAUUUGGAUAACAUAGAUAAUAAACCAAGAAAAUAAUAAUAAUAAAAAACCAAGAAAAUAAACAGACUUGAUAGUGUAGACAUAACUUUUUUAUUUAUGAAUUUGAUGAUUUUAUAGACUUGGAUUGGUGGGGAUCUCUCAAAAAUGGACAUUUAAAAAAAAAAAAAUCUCGUUAAUAGGAGUUUCCUCAAGUUCCAUUUACAGUGCGAACUUCUUUCUAUUUUUAUUUUUCCUGGAUCAAAACGACGUGCAACAAAGGAAAGCGCUAUGAGGCCUUUUGUCGAACAAGUGGUGUGCACAAUCGGAGGUGCAACUUUCUGAUACCUACAACGCUUUUUUCAGCGAAGGGAGGUACAGUUGCACUUCCUUACACCUUUGUAGGUCCGCCACUCAUGACUUAUGCAAUGCAUGACAUACUUCAUGCAAAUCACUUACUUUAAUCAUAUGUGUACCUUUGUUUAAUCUACACACUAAAAAUCAUCACUAGACUAAUUCCACAUGCACAAUUGUAUAAACUAAACUCAAUCAAUAUCCAAAAUAAUUAAGAUGGAUGGUAUACAUUAUUGACACCAAUGUGAAUUUGACUAAACUACUAGAAUCUAAAAAUCUCGUAUGACAAAAACUCUCUGCUUUUCACUAAACUAGCUUUUUGGCAUGUGCGCUCACAAAUAAUUGGCUACUUAGCAUAUUAGUACAAGUAUGGCCUUAUUGAUUUGAAGAAUGCAAUUCCAAUUAUAACCAUAUACGAUUAUAAUUUAUAACCAAGCUAAUCUCAAAUACAUUUUUUGCUUUCAAAUUAAGUCUACAAAUACUUGGUUUAUAUAGGAAACAAAUCUUGUUCAUUCCCUAUCAUCAUCUCUCUCAUCUCCUUCUCUAUCUUUAUAGUUCAAAAUGAAACCAAAAACUAAAUUCGGACUUUUAAUUUACUAGUUGGAAUUUUUAUACUAAAUAAAAAAGAUUUCGUGUCAAUUUGUCUAGAGACAUAAGCAGAUAGAAAUAUACGACUUUUGCUUGCUGUCUUUGACAGCAUGCACAGACUGAGACAUAUACGUAUCCACAAGCUCACACGAAAUCAAGAUCAUCUUUGUGUAUAGAUAUAGAAUACAGUUACUUUUAGGGUUUGUAAUACCCAAAAACAACUAUUUAAAGGUCUGAACAUGAAGUGGGUCAAAGAGACAACAAUCAAUUCUCACGGUGGCUUUAGGACUUGCUUUAAAAAAAAACAUUUACAAUCUGGCCUCUGGGUGGGUGUUUACUUGGACCCGAUUCUCUGGCUGUCUUCCAUUACCUGGAUAUUGUUUUCUAUCUUUCCUAUUCAAAAGUCUUGAGCUUUCCUUCUUGACACCUGUAUGCAUUUGAAAGGGAAACCCCUUUUAAUUUCUUGAGCGCCAAGGAUCUUUGUGUUUGUGGUGAUAACCACUGACUGGGGGGAGAGAAGGAGAGAGAGAGAGAAAGAGAGAGAGAGCUCUUAUCAAUUGGCAAUGGCAAAAAGUCAAAGAGGCCAGAAUAUAAUUUGUCAUUUGAUAAAUAAAUAAAAAGAUAUUUAAAGGAUAACUAAUGAACUGAUAACCAAUUUUUUUAAAACUCUGAUUCUAUUUCUAAUUGUAACCUACUAUUUAUUUUUUGGUUGUUUAAUUGGAGAGAAUGAACCCUAGACAUAACCUGAUUAUGAUCCAUUUUUUACCUAUUCUCACCACUUGGGCUAACCCCAAGAACUUCUGAUUCUAAUUUAUUUUUUUCCAACUAAAAAAGUGAAUUAUUACAUUUUAUUUCUAUUUUCAUUCCAUCCACAUUCCACCAACCAACGACUAGAACUAUAAAUUUAAGUGAUGAUUGUAGUCUUGCUCAUUGACACAUUAACUAAUUUUUUUAGUACACGCAACAAUUUAAAUUAGAAGAUGAAUUUCUCACACACACGCAACUGUGAUGUCGGAGACCUCUUAUCUGAAAGUCCAAACUCUUUUUCCAUUAGAAUUGACCCCUUGACAGCCCAUUAACUUGUUUGAUAAAUAAUUUAUGGGUAAAAAGUUCUCAUCAAACGCAAAAGUAAGUCUUACAGAACAAAACAAUAAUAUGAUUGGUCAGCAAAGCAUUUCGCAGGCUUUUACAGACGGAAAUUAUGGAGAGAACUAUUUUUUUCACCCUCGGUAUAUAUUUGCAAGCCGCCCACGAAUAGCCUGGGCUGUAAAAAAAUUCCAGAAUCAGCGGGCGGUAUUUUGAAUUGAGCAAUCCAAAUUCCAAACUGGGGGCCUGGGCCCAAAAAUAAAAUUUUGAAUUUAUCCAAUUUCAGUAUUGCUUUCCUUCCCCAAACAAUAAAUAAUUGAAGGUUGUAAGAAAUUCAUGCAGGACCUGCCUAAACCAAAGAAUUAUCGUGUGUGGAGAACGUUCAAAACUGUUGUGCUGUUUGUGCCUAAUGGUAGCGUUAUAAAAUUAAAUGUGGGAAAUACCAGUGGGGUAUAGCUCAAUUGAUUGAACUCUUCCACCUUUUUUUUUCUUUUCCAGUAUGAGAGCUCUUCCACCUCUAUCCAUAUGAGAAGAGGUUCAAAACCCCAAGCACCUACCGGCCUAAUCGCUUGAACUAAAAAAAAUUUACAUGUGGGAAAUUGUCAUAAAAAAAAGGACAAAGGGUUGAUGCCAUAAGCCUCUCCCAUUCCUAAUUUGUAUAUGCAAUCACAACACAUAUUGGAAACUUAAUCAUCACUCAUGCAUGAAGCUAGAUUUUACAGCAUUUCCCUGUAUGGACUUUGAGACCUCGGUUUGAAAAAUGGCAAGGGGGUUUUCAAAGAGCAGAGUGCGGGGAUGAAGUGUUUUAAGGGGUUAUAACAAAGUGGUAGAAGAAAAAACUAGUCUAAGACCACCAAAGAGAGCAAGGAAAAGAAGAAAAAAAUCACCAUCGAAAAUGCCAAAUUGAAGCAGCAACUGGCCCAUAACGCACACGCUGGGUGAACCUUUGUGCAAGACACUACAUUUUCAACUGAAGAAACAAAUUCCAAGUGUUCUAUUUGCACGUACCCUUGGGACUGCAAGCUAUUUGUCUUAGCUUAAUACUUUCACCUCUUUGUCCCUGGUGAAUUCUCCUUUUUCAUCCUGCAAAAGUAAAAACCUAUGAUUUUAAUGCAAAUGGGCAAAAACGAUCAAAUAACUCACUCGCUUAGGAAGGGAAUCUGAUUAACUCUAGCAAAAAUAAAAAAUAAAAAAAGGAAAUCCAAAUAAGAAAUAGGAAUAGCCAAUAUCAGUCUUAGAAGGCAUCAUAGUGCGGGGGCGUGUGAGAAUGUGAAGGUAAAGAGUCCCACAUUGGAAAGUUGAGAAACCUAGCAAUGGCUUAUAAGGAGUUAGGUUACUCCCCCCAUUGCCAAUUCGUUUUAGGGUGGAACCUCAACUUCCUUCAUGGUAUCAGAGCGGGUUGCCCACGUGUGAAAGCCCAACGGCCACACGUGCUCCACGUCACCCAAAAUGUGUUGUCCACGUGUUAGGCUUGAAAAUUCGCCACACGUGCGAGAGCGUGUGAGAAUGUGAAGGUAAAGAGUCCCACAUUGGAAAGUUAAGAAACCUAGCAAGGGCUUAUAAGAAGUUGGGCCACUCCCCCCAUUGCCAAUUGGUUUUGGGGUGAAACCUCAACUUCCUUCACAUAGUUGUGUGUGUGCGUGUGUGACAAAAGUAAAUUGAGUGAAAACUAGCAAAUAAACCCACCACUGUAAAUUGGUUCAGAGACCUCAGAACUUUAAUUAAACCACCUCUUCCGUCAGCUUGUACAGCUUGGAUCUUGUGCUAUUGCCGUUCUGUUCUUAUGCUUCCGCUUGCACCAUUUACCUAAAUACCUGUUUGUUCCAUCAGGACCAAGCAAGCCACCAGAGAAGCAUGCAUCCCCUGCAUUUUAAUGAGGAACACAAAAAUAAAGUUACAUUUCAUAUUGUAAUGUUGUUCAAGUAAAUGUAACUUAUUUCAUGCUGUACUGCCCAGCCAAACUCAAAAUGAAUUCAAGUAAACCUGGUCUGGGAAGUUGUUGUGGGAUAGGAGAUUCGUUUCUGAUGUUCAUCAUGGGUUGAACUUGUUCAUCGUCAUCAAUAAUCACAACAUCAGCAAUAUCAGCAGCAGGAGUCUUGGCAGUAUCGGCACAAGUACCAGUUAUUGAACCCAACGCCUCAACCAGAUUGCUCAGUCCAAGAACUGAAGUUUCUUUCUUUCUAUCAGAAGCUGCCUCUGACAUUAACCAAGUACACUUAUGGUUAGCAGCAUCCAAGCAGGUUUCUUUUUUUGAAUUUGGAUUUGAAAUUCCAUGCACAGUUGUGGAAAACUUUGAAGCAUGUCAUCUACUCAAGAGUAGGCAUCUCUUACUUUAUCAUGAGCACUGAUAUUUGUAACAUCUUUAGCACAAUUUGGAUUUAUAUGGUUAGUGAAAUUGAAGUUUUAUGUUGCCCUAUGAUACAGUAGAUCAUUCUGCAAGCUUCCAUCCUAUCCAAAUUACAUGCGAGAUCAUACAGAUGUUUUCUUUGAUCUUUAAAUGAAAUGCUGAGAGACACAGUUAGACUUACGAUUUACACCGUGCUGAAUAAAUCCUCCACCUCGAGUUUUCUUUGAAGCUUUUAAAGCCCUCAAAACUUCAGUAUUCUUAACUUCAACAGCAGUCUCCAAUUCUUGUACCUUUGUCUGAUAAUGACCAAAAAGCCACUAAAUCAGGAACCGCUCCAAGAUUCACAUAGGAUCAUCUCAUCACAAACUUACCUUCAAUUUAUUUAUCUUUCCUCUAGCCUUCUCUAGCUUUUUACUGUGACGAGCUUCUUUCUGUUCAAGUAGAUUGUAUUUGGCCAUCAAUUCCUUGUAAUUCCUAUGAGAAGUAGGUAUCGCAAAGAAAACAAAUUAAAACAUGAGAAAGAAACAAGGUAUACAUAAGUGAAAUGAAGAGGUGGCUACCACUUCAACUUUAUUUAGAUAAAAACACAAAAGUAAAUGUCAAACAGUUUGCUCCAUCCAUUGAAAUCAACUAAAUUUCAAAGUAAGAUAUAUAUGGCUGACCUAUUAGACAUCACCAAGGACGUUCUUAGAACAUCUAUUGUGUCUUUGUUGUCGGCUCCAUUACCAAGAGCUGCAAUCUUUAAAACGUCCUUUUCAUCCAGAUCUAGAUCAGAUACCCUGGAUUGCAACUCACAUAACCAUGUUAGGAGCAGAAAACAAAACAGGUCAUUGAGAGAUUAAGUAGCCUAUACUAGCCUUCGGGCUUUGGCUCACGCAAAUUUCUGAAACAAAAUAGUAAUAACCCAUUAAAAAAAACUACUUGCCGUAGUGCAAAACCACUCACAGUUCAACAGCUGCAAGCUCUUUGUCCAAUGCUCUAUUUCUUUCUUGCAACCUCAAGCACUCCAAAGUCAAUUUAUCAAAUUCCUACAAAAAAUUUGACCAAAACUUCAUCAGCUUCUUUUUUUCUUCUCAUAAUAAAUUUACAUAAUUCAAAAAUAUAUUUAAAGAAGUACAGCUAAUAGCUUACCUUAGAUUUCAUAUGAAGCAGCUGUUGCAUGGAAGUUUGUUGUUUCAAGGCUUCAUUCUUUAAUUCAACUUCUUUUUUUACCUGCUCCUUGGAUAGAUAAAGCUGAAAAACCACAUGAACACAAAGCAAGCUGUUAUAAUCUUGCACAAAAUAAACCACUGAAGAUCCAGAGUUCUGAUAUUUCUAUCUUGCACAAAAUCUUGAACAAAACGGGCUUUGGUUUUCAAGUUUCCUUUCAAUGUAGGAAAAUGGAAACAAACUUUGAGCAUUUUGUUUCCAAUGUUUUAAAUUCCUCAAUUAAGCCAAACUACCUUAUCAAUUCGAGUAUAGUACAAAAUUACGAAUCGUCGAACAAUCAAAUUCAGUACUCUAAGUUGCAAUUAUAUUGCUUUAUUUAAGUGGAAUAGCAAAACUGAAACCCCAAUUUACCAAACUUCCUAAUCCUACUUUCCUUUCAUUGUUUUUCCCAAGAUUUCUCAGUAACCAAACAGAAAAUAAUGAGAAUCCAGUACAUUGCAAAUACCUCCUGGUUGAGCCCUUUGACCUCCUUCUCCUUACGCUCCAAAGCAGAACCAAGCCCUAGCGCCAUGGCCUCCAACCUUCUCACCUCUCGACGCAACGCCUCGGAAUCUUCCUCGCGUUCGAUAACCGGACUCUGAGUGAGACUCGAAUCACCCCAUUGAAAAUAAAGCCGAGCGACGUCGUUUGGCUUGCAACUUUGUUUGCACACCGGGCAACUGUACUUCUUCUUGCUCGAAAAGUACCCGAACCGCUCUUGCAGACUAGGGUUUUACAGACAAAACGCAGCGUUUGAAGCCUUAAUUUUCAAGAAAUGCAUACAUAGAAAUUAUAAAUAAAUAGAUAAAUGAGAGAGAGAGAGAGACCAGAGCUCAUGGAAGACAUGGCCGCAGAUGGAGAUGACUUGGAGAUCCUCAACAAUGGGAUCGAAAUCUUUGUAGCAGAGUGAGCAAAUGGUUUUGCUAAAGGCGUUGCAAUUCACCAUCUCUGUUGUCUCUACCUCUUCCUGGGGUUUCGGCGUUUCGCUUUAUUUCUCUCAUGAUUUUUGUCGGGAAAAUGGAGCGAAAUUUUGAAAAAAAAAAAAAAAAAAACGGAACUGAGCGGGAAGAUUCCUUUUUUUCCUGUUUUUCAGAGAACCGAGCGGGAAGAAGAUGUAAGAGGGUAAAAACAACGAUGAGCGUUACACGUUGAAAAAUUAUAGAAAUGCCCCUCAAUUAUAUAAUUUCUAUGUGUAUAAAAAAACCAAUAAGUAUCGCAAUGGGCUUUAUAUCUCACAAGUUAAGAGCAUUUAAUCAUGUAUUCGAAAUCCUAGAUUCGAUUCUCCAUAUUUAUGAUGAAUUCAAUGUUUAUUGUGAGUCGUGACUAACCCAUUGUAGUUGUGGCUAAAUUAUAGUAUUAUUUUUUUGAUAGUAUUAUGAAAAUAGAUUUGUAAAAGAAAGAAAGAACCUAGGGAUAUAUCAUAUACUAGAGGACUUCACUGGGAAGAAAAAAAAGAGGAUACGAAUUUUUUUUCCUUUGCUUGGAAUAAGAGAACAAUUUGGAAGUAACGGAAAUUUGAGUAAUAUACAAGUAUCAUAUUAUUAAUUAUCUUUAGUUUUUAGUUGCAUUAUUAAAGUAUGUUGGGAUGCUUUUGUGUUACUCUUGCGUCAUGGCAUUCAUGCAAGGCAUAGGGUCAUUUGAGUGAUUUUGUAUUGAGAUUUGUCCAAGGGGCAUAAGAGAAAACUGCACCCGGGGUUCAUUUUGAACUGGCGAACAAGUUAUGCUAUAGACAACAAAAUGGGAGAAACUUUUUACAAGAAGACACAUCAUUUUGAACGGAAGAAACAAAUCCCAUCGGCAAUCGUUCAAGACAUUUCUUUUCUCUUAACUUAAAUAGUAACCACUGAUAUUUCUGGACAUCUGUAUAAGGUUUGUCUUCGGCUGCAUAGGACAACAAAGGGACGGAUUAGAUUAUACGAACUGAAAAAAAGAAGAAUCAAAUUAAUAAUUUAAGAUGGAAUAUCAAUAAAAACCAAUUCAGAAAUAGGAACUAACAAAUCCAUUUGCUUCUACCAUUCGUUACUCUUUCAUGUAACUCAACAUUGCAAAGCCAUAAAUAUGCGCACCUUCAAACACUUGAUUAGUUGCCAACCCUUCCAAAGAAGUGUUCUAUUUGCAAGCACCCUUGGGACUGCGAACUGUUUGUCUUAGCUCCAGUCUUGCACCUCUUUGUCCCUGAUGAAUUCUCCUUAUUAUCCUGCAAACGUUAAAAUAUCGACAUGCUUAACAUUUGUAACAUUGUCAAAUUAGAGAAAACUAAUUUAAAUGUAAACAAGCACAUAAACCCACCACUGUCAAUUGAUUCAAAGAUCUCAGAACUUUGAUUCUACCACCUCUUCCAUCAGCUCCUACAGCAAUCAAACGACCAGUAUCUGCACUUGAUUCUGAUCCCUUGUUCAGACCCCGCUUGCACCAUUUACCUAAAUAUCUGUUUGUUCCAUCAGGCCCAAGCAAGCCACCAGAAAAACAUAUAUCCCCUGUAUUUGGAAGAGAAAUAACAAAACCAAAGUUAAGUUUUUCUAAUCUUCAGAAUCAUUUCAUGAUGCAUUUCCCAGUCAAACUCAAAAAUGCAUCAAUAAUAUACCUGGACUGGGAAGUGGUUGUGGGCUAGGAGACUCCUUUCUGAUGUUAAAAAUGGGUUGAACUUGUUCAACAUCCUCAAGAAUCACAACAUCAGCCAUAUCAGCAGCAGGGGUCUUGGCGGUAUUCUUAGAGGUACCAGUUAUUGAACCAAAAGGCUCAACCAGAUUGCUUAGUCCAAUGACUGAAGUUUCUUUCUUAGUAUCAGAAGCUGCCUCUGAUCUCAACCGAGUACACUUCUGGAUAGCAACACCAUCAUAGGUUUGUUCUUUCAAAUUGAGAUUUGAAAGUCCAUGCUUAGUUGUGGAAACUUUUGAAGCAUCUUCAUCUAUUAAAGAGUAGGCAUCUCUUACUUUAUCAUGAGCAGGGGUCCUUGUACCAUCUUUGGUACAAUUUGCAUCCAUGUGAUCAGUGAAAUUGAAGUUUUCUGUUCUCCUAUGGCACAGUAGAUCAUUUUCCAAGUUUUCAGUCUUAUUCAACUUACGCUUGGGAGCAUACAGAUGUUCUCGUUGAUCUUCGGAUGAGUUGUUGACAGGCAUUGAUUUAAAGUUACACUGUACACCAUUCUGCAUAACUCCUUCACCCCGAGUUUUCUUUGAAGCUUUUAAAUCCCUCAAAUCUUCAUUAUCUUUUACUUCAACAGCCAUCUCCAGUUCUUGUACCCUAUUCUGAUAAUGGCCACAAAAUCACUUAGAUCAGGUUCCACUCAUCGAUUGAUAUUCACUUCAGAUCAUCUCAUCACAAACUUACCUUCAAUUUUUUAAUCUUUUCUUUAGCCUCCUUCUCAAGUUUUUUGCUCUCACGGGCUUCUCGUGCAAUACCAUUGUAUUUGUUUAUCAAUUCUUUGUAGUUCCUAUGAGAAAUAUGCAUGGCAAAUAAUGUAAAUUAAAACAUGAGAAAGAAACAAAGUAUAGAAGGAUGAAAUGAGAAGUGACCACUGCUUAAAAUCACUUGAGAGAGAAGCAUUUGAGCAAAUGUCAAACAGUUUGCUCCAUCCAUAAAGGUUGAGUAAAUUUCAGGAUAAGAUUUAUAUGGCUGACCUUUUACUCAUCUCCAAGGACUUUCUUAGAAUAUCUAUCGUGUCUUUGGUGUUGGCCCCAUUACCAAGAGUGGAAAGCUUUAGAACCUCAUCUUCAUUCAGAUCUAAAUCAGAUACCCUAGAUUGCAACCCACAUAACCAUGUUAGGAGCAGAAAAGAAAACAAGUAUUUGAGAGAUUAGAUUGCCUAUAACAUAAUAGCCCUUGGCUUGGGCUAAAGAGGCAAAGCAUGUGUGGGGUUGACGUAAAGCUUAUGUUUAACUCUUUCUGAUUAACAAAAUGAUAAAGAACCAUUAGAAAAACUAAUGCUCAUAGUGAAACCACUCACAAUUUGAAUGCUGCAAGCUCUUUGGCCAAUGCCAUGUUUCUGUCUUGCAACCUCAAGCGUUCCAUAGUCGAUUUAUCAAGGGCCUACCAAAAAAAUUACCACUUUAUCUGAUUUAUAAAAUCAAUCAAAGACUAUUUAAAAAUGCAUUUAAUGAAGAACCAAAGUUCAUGGUUUACCUCAGAUUUCAUAUGAAGCUGCUGCUGCAUGGAUGCUUGUUGUUUCAAGGCUUCAUUCUUCAACACUGCUUCUUUCUUUGCCUCAUCCUUGCAUAGACAAAGCUGAAAUAAAACUUUCCUCAUAAGAACCACAUAAAGCUGCUACAAUCUUGCGGAAAAUAAAUCACUGAAUAUCCAGAGUUUUAUUAUUUGUAUCAUCUCUCCCCCCCACCUUUACUGAGUUUCCGUGAAAAGAAAUUAAAUCAUAAACCUCAUAACCUUCUAUAAUAUAAAAUUUCGGAAACUUUCCUCUAACUUUUGCAACAUUUGUUUCUAUUUUUCCUUCUGAUGAAGCAAAAGGAAACAAACUUUUCAGUAUUAUGUUUCCAUUGUUUUAAAUUCCCAGUUAAGCCAAACUAUACUAUCAAAUCACAGAAUAGUACCAAAUUACAAAUCAUCUAACAUUCAAAGUCAAUUCUCUGGCUGAAAUUAUAACUAUUGUGCUUUAUUUUUUUUCUCCAAUUUCCGAAGGUACCGUAAAACGAAAAACAAACUAAUCCAAAUGUGUAAUCAAACUCAAAUAGUAGAACACCAAUUUACCAAAGUUCAAAUUCUAACUCAUUUUCUUUGUUCUUCCCCUUAUUUCUCAGAAGCCAAACAAUGCAUAAUGAGAAUCCAAUACCUCCUCUUUGAGCUCUUUAAGCUCCUUCCCCUGAAGAUCAAAAGCCGAACGAAGCCCUAGCGCCGUGACUUCCAACCUUUUCACCUCUCGACGCAACACCACGGGAUCUUCCUCACAUUGGUUAAUCGGCCUCUGAGUGAGACUGGGAUCCGCUGAGUCCCCCACCGACUGAAAAUAAAGUCGACCGGCAUCCUUUUCUUUGCAAUUUUGCUUGCACACCGGGCAAGUGUAUCUCUUCGUCCUCGCAGAGUACUCGAACCACUGUUGCAGACUAGGGUUUCACACAGCAACGUCACCGUUUUGACAUUAAUUUCCAAUCAAUGCAUACAUUGAGAUUAGAGAAAACAAUAACACAUUAUAUCCAUAUAUAUGUGGAGAGGGGAGAGAGAUAAAUACCAGAGCUCGUGGAAGACAUGACCGCAGAUGGUGAUGACUUGGAGAUCCUCGACAAUGGGCUUGAGAUCUUCGUAACAGAUUGAACAAAUGGUUUUGGCGCAGCUAUCGCAAUCUGCAUCGCCCAUCUCUCUAGUCUCUGCUAUGAGGUUUCAAGCUUUCGCUUUAUUUCUCUCAUGAUUUUCUCGGGAAAAUGGAGCGAAAUUUGAAAAACAUAGCGAACUGAGCGGGAGAAGAUGGAAGAGGAGCGAUGGGAAAACCAAAGCACCCAAAAUGCAUAUGUUCAUAAUUGGUGCACGCACUGCUCACGUGCAGGCCAUGUUAACUUUUUGUGUUCCCAACUAUUGUUGGAGUUUCAUUUUGUUCCACAAAAUAAAUUUUUCAUUUCAACCGUCCUCAAACUCUCUCUUUAGUAUUAAAACAAGGGUAAUGCUAGGCUUACCACAUUUUUAUACCACAUUAUGUACAAUCUCUCUAAUAGAGGUAGAGCACACCAAUACAAUAGUGCUCACCUCUAUUAGAGAGGUGGUACACAAUCUGGUAUGAAAAAUGUGGUAAGCCUAGCAUUUUCCUUAAAACAAUCAUAUCAUUAAAGUCUGUUAAUUGUUCAGUGAAAUCGAGGGGCCAAACGAUCUUUUUUAGACAGUACCCUCAUCUAAAACAUGCAAAGUCAUCUCUCCUCCCCUUCCCCUUCGUCUCUAAAUUAAAAAAACAAAAGGGAGUGUAAGUAGACAAAAAAUGAGUGAGAAAAUCAGCAAAAAAAAAAAAAUCAUCCUAACUAAAACACAGUCAUUGAAAAAUGUCAUAAACUCUUUGUAAUAUGCACUUUCAUUAUAUGAUCUCAAAUUCACAAUUUGACCCCCAAAAUCUCAUUUCCAAGUUCCACAUAAAAUUGAAAAACUAAAAUCAAUUAUCAAAAAGCUUUUAAACAGUUUUUAGUUUUUAGUUUAUUUGAAAACUGAAAUUGGUUACCAAACAAGUUUUAUGCUUUCAAUUUCUUAAAAAUGAUGACUAAAAAAUAAAAAUUGAAAAAUAAAAUGAUUAUCAAAUGAGCCCUAAAUUUUAUCAUUUUGAACCUUUCGCGACAGUGAUAGCAUACCCUAGCAUCUCAUGCUAGGAUUCAAGAUGUUGCUUACAGCCAUAAUUUGGGAUGCAAACAAAUUUUUGGGAGGUAAGCUUUAUGUUUGACUAAAAAUUGGGCCGUAUAAAUGCCAAAAAGUUCUUAACUAUAUGAUGGGGUGUGGUCUUGUUGUUUUUGGAAUUGAGUAUCAUUACGUGCCGCGUUGGUAGUUAAUAAAGAGUUAACAAGGUCUAACUCAGUGAAAAAAGUUAUUUACUUGUAGAUCAGUGGUUUCAGGUUUGAAUCUUUAUAACAUCUUGUUAGUGUGUGUGAGAAUCCCAUUCCCCUUAGUUUAAAUUAUCGCUUGUAUUUAUCCCAAAAAAAAAAAAAAGAAAAAAAAAGGUAUAGAUGAUCAUACACACAUAAUACUUAAAAUGAUAACAUCUUACAAGUUUGGAUAGUAAAGUGAACAAAUUGAAAUGUAGUGUUCAUUUUAAAAGUCACAAUGAACCUCAUGCUUUGGCUCGAGUUCGAGCCCGGGUUUUAGUUAGGUUGAGAAUUAUUUAAUUCAACUCUAACAUAUAACUGCUUGAAUUGAACUCAAAUUAAAUUUAGAUGAGAUCUACCAAGUAACUAGUUCAAUACGACAAAUAAAAGGAAAUGAAAUCAAAAGAGACUCCAACCCUCCAUGGUUUAUCAACUAAAAAUACUAAAACAAUGAUGAUGAUGAUGAUGAUGAUGAUGAUGAUGAUGAUAUAAGUUGUUAGUAAGUAUAAUUUCCUUAAAUGUUUCAUUGCAUAAGAAUUAUUAUUAUGUAGUCCUGAUCUCUUGGACCACAGGAGUCUUAGAGAUUGUGGUCACUCACCGUUGGAUAUUAAUCUAAUGGUUCAAAAAGUUUCUUAAAAGGAGUUCAAGAUUGAGUGAACCGUUGAAUUUACAUCCAAUGGUGAGUGACCACAAAUCUCUUGGACUCCUGUGGUCCAAGAGAUCGGGACUGUAUUAUUAUGAGAUAACAUUACAUAUAAACACAACCAUGACACACCAUAAUCCAUCAACAACUACAUAUUAAGAAACUUAAAAAUAAGAUAUGUAAUUAACCUUGACAAUAGGAAAGACAGGUAACUAAUAAAUUUAGGAUAUCACAUGAAGGAAGAACAAAAUAUUUUAAUUAUAAAAUUUCAACCCAAACUCAAAUUUCUUAGGGUUGAAAUUUAGUUCGGGCAUUUUCUUGCACAACUCGGACUCAAAAGUCGGGUUGGCGUUCGGACGGGUAUAGGUUGGCCCAACUACAACAAAGUUAAAAAAGGAAGAAAAAGGGAAUGUUUUUCUUAAUCAGAAAAAGAAAAGGAAUGUUGUGAGGGCAGAGGCAAGCGAAUCAAAUUGAAACAGCAGACCAAAUAAAAGGCGUACGAAAACAAUAAAAAUAAAAAUCAAAGCUACAAUGCUUAUGCUUCCAGCUUGUUUUUUAGAUGCACUCUAACUCUCAAAAUUACCCUUAAUCAUUACACCGUUUGUAUCACAAUGGAAGGGUAAAAUGGUCACUAAAGUUAUUGAAUAUUCAUUGUAGUCUUCGUCCACGAACUUCCUCUCUCUCUCUCUCUCUCUCUCUCUCGCCCUCGAUCUAACCCAAACCAGACCAAGCAAAGAGGAAAGAGGCAAACUCUCUGCUACUCUCUCUCUCUCUCUCGCUCGCUCAGUGGAUUCGCAUAGAGGUGGAAUUUCCCUUCUCCCAUUUGCUUUUAAUUAUUUUGGAUUUUCCUUUUCUAAUUUUUACGGCGUCCAAAUUAGGAACAGUAGUUGUUGAUUUUUGCUUAGAGUGUGAGGAAAUGGUAGAAAUUAUUCAGUAAUUUCUGUCAUGUUUUGGGGGUUCAAAUUAUAGAGAGUCUGUUGCGACAAUUGGAGCUCUGAAUAUAGGGAUAUUGGAGCUUUGAAUCCAAUGGUAACUUUUGUAAUUUCUUGAUCAAUUUGUUUGGCUGGUGAGAUUACAAAGCUAAAUGAUGAAAAAUUGGAAACGGAGUCACCAGCUCCAGUAAUCUAGCAGCUGAAAACGCCAUCAAAACUAGAGCAUCUGUUUUUCAUUUGAAUAAACAUAAAUUUUAACAUGCAUUUCUUUUGUAUCGUAAUUUUAGACAACAUUCAUUAUCUUCACCUUGUUUUAAUUUUUGAGUCCUAUAAUAUGUUUCGAGUAAUGAAUCGCUGUUUUCUUUUCUUGGACUGCUCCUACUUUAAUUUGUUCUGUAAUGUAUUCAAUUUUUAUCUGAAUCUGAAUCAUGGUUUCAAAGUUGAACUUUUAAGCUGUUAAAUUGAAAAAUGAUAAUUGUUGAACGGGAAAUAAUGUGCUCCAGGAUAUCCAUUUCUAGGAUUUUGAAAAUUCAUUUUGUAACAAUGAUGGCACCAAAAUUUUCAUUAGUGUGCUCCAUUGACAUGAAAGAUAUCCCUUGAUGAGAUAUUGUGUAUGGAAGGCCCGUUUCUUGUUUCAUGGGACUAGCAAACAUGCACAUUCAUGUUUUGCUCAAGAGUUGGGUUUAUUAGAAGUCUUAAAGUUAUUUUUGUGAUUUGAGCAACAAAAUUUUGGUUCUCGAUUGAAGAGUGCUGUUAAUAUGUCUGUAAUGGAUGGAACUGUUGGCUGGAUGUUGGCUGUAUCAUUUGUGAGCUCCAAUGGCGACUUUAUUGAUUGUGCUUCACUGCUGAUUUUUCUUGAACUAGAUGAAAGAGAGUAGAGAUGGAAUCAGAAGCGGUAGACAUUCAAAAUCUUCAUCUGUUAGCUCACUUCCACUCAUCUUGGACAUAGACGACUUUAAGGUGAAAAACUGCAAAAUAUAUCAUUACCUUAUGUAACUAUUGUAGUAUACCAAUGAUGCACUUGGGCAUUAAUGUAAAGUAAAGAUUGAAAUUCCUUGGGAUUUAAAAUGCAGGGGGAGUUUUCAUUUGAUGCAUUGUUUGGGAACCUGGUAAAUGAUCUUCUCCCAUCUUUUCAAGAAGAAGAAACAGACAUAUCUGAAGGUCAUAGCAACAUCAGUGGGCACGAUGGUUUGUCAAAUGGACAUAUGCGAGCACCAUCGGAUGCAGCAAAGUUUGCGCAAGGACUGUCAGACCCUCUAUUUCCAGAAGUAGAUAAGAUCUUAUCUCUGUUCAAGGAUUCUUGCAAAGAGUUGGUUGAUCUCCAGAAACAGGUAUGCCUUGUGACAGCGUAGGUAUUGGACUUACAAAGUCAUUUCAAUUUUUUCUGAAGUUGUUGAUUUCCCCCUCUUACCCUUGAAGAUUGAUGGAAGACUCAACAAUCUUAAGAAGGAGGUUUCUGUACAAGACUCUAAGCACCGCAAGACACUUGCUGAGGUUAGUUAGCAGAGGGCAUACAUUUUACUGUUUAUCCUAUUCAGAAAAUGUUUCGCACACUGUACUCGAAGAAGGAGCAGCAGUCCUUUUCAACUGGGAAAUGUUAUUGUCAGAGCUCAGACUAUCAUCGUUAGAGCUCCAUGGAUAUUGGGGUUGGACUUGAUGCAUUUCUCAAAGCUAGAAAUGACAUUUCCCUGUUGAAAAUAUAUGGAAAUUACUGCAUCUGGCCUUUUGUGAUUUUCACCAUUCGUUUGGUAACCAGUAUCAUAUGUGAAGAAUUCCAUGGAAGUAACAUAUAUGCUUCUCUUUAUUGUUUGAUAAAACCAAUUGUUUACUAUUUUAACUUGCUUUUUUAACAUGGUUUUCCACCAAUGUUAAAGUGAAAACAUGUAAAUUUUUCACAAAGUGAGGAAUCUGAAGUCCAAAAGUGCUUUGAAUCUCAAAGCAUUAGAUGAAUCUGAAUUGAAUAGUGAAUCACAAAUUUGACUGUAUUCGUGAUGCAUGUUAUUUCUCAGCUUGAAAAAGGAGUAGACGGCUUGUUUGGUAGCUUUGCCAGGUUGGAUUCUCGUAUAUCAAGUGUUGGACAGACUGCUGCAAAAAUAGGAGAUCAUCUGCAGGUGAAGUUUGUCCUAUGCUUGGUUGCUAGUGCAUAUGCUUUAACGUCCAAAGUUGUACUUGUUAAUGAUUUCUACUGUGCAAUUAUUUCUUUAACUCUUUGUUAAUUUGUGUUUGUAAUUUGUGGGUUUUCCUUGUCAGAGUGCAGAUGCUCAGCGGGAUACUGCUAGUCAAACGAUAGAGCUCAUAAAGGUAGUCAGGGUCCAUUUAUUAUAUGCUACCCUUUAUUUUUAAUAAGUUAACACCUUGUUAUCAUAAAUCCUUGCAGUACUUGAUGGAGUUUAAUAGCAGCCCAGGCGAUCUGAUGGAACUUUCACCCCUAUUUUCCGAUGAUAGUCGUGUUGCAGAGGCUGCUAAAAUUGCACAGAAACUGCGUAAGAUGGCAUUAUCAUCUUAAAAAAUCUGUAGUUAUUUUUUAAGGCACACUAUUUAUGAGCAUCUCUCUCUCUCUCUCUCUCUCUCUCUAGAAAUGGGUAUCAAAGACACUGUGGGUUAGCCAGUAGCUGUGAUUUGUUUGCAAGAUAUGGUCAUGAAAUAUUCUUAGGUGAAUGAAACUAGAUUAAAUUUGCAUCCGACUUGUGUAGAUAUGACUUCAUGAGUGUAUGCAAAUAAUUACCAUCCUCUGUCAAGAGUGUUUAGCACCCUAUAGAGUUGUAGAAGAAACUGAUUAUGUCAGUGUGAUAUCUUUUAAGAACAGACUUGUAAUUUUCGAUAAUACCAUCCAAUAUCCGACUGUGUAGAUAUGACUUCAUGAGUGUAUGCAAAUAAUUACCAUCCUCUGUCAAGAGUGUUUAGCACCCUAUAGAGUUGUAGAAGAAACUGAUAAUGUCCGUGUGCUGAUAAUGUCAAUGUGAUAUCUUUUAAGAACAGACUUGUAAUUUAUGAUAAUACCAUCCAAUAUCCUGGCAACGGGAAGAAAAAUGUGAUUAUUGCUUUUGGUAAAUAAGUUUCGUUUACAAAUGGAUUUUAGGAGUGGUAAAAGUUCUCUUCAUUGCAAUAAUAACCUUCCAUGCUUCUAUCAAUAUUAGGGGCAUUUGCUGAGGAAGAUAUUGGAAGACAAGGUAUAGCUGUACCAUCAGUUAUGGGCAAUGCAACAGCUAGCAGAGGAUUAGAAGUUGCAGUUGCUAAUCUUCAGGACUACUGCAAUGGUAUGUAUGUAGUCACAAAAAUAUCAUGUCUAGUUGGGAAAUUGACUAUAGUCUCCAUGCUAUCGUUUGAUGUCACUGUGCCAAAAACUUUAUUCAAAACUAAUGGAGCACCUUCUUAAUGAUUCUAUAUGAAAAUGUGGAAUCCUAGAAAUUAAAAGCUUGGGUGGGAAAGAGUUUGGAGUCCCUUACAAAUUAUGUUGAUUUAUUUUAAUCAAGUUCUUUUUCUUCUUACCUUCUUAAUAGAAUUGGAGAACAGAUUGCUAGCUCGUUUUGAUGCUGCAUCACAGAGAAGAGAAUUGUCAACCAUGGCAGAAUGUGCUAAAAUUUUAUCUCAGGUAAUAAUUGUUUUUAGACCUAAUAGAUCAUGAUAUUCUUAGAUUUUAACACCAAAACUCCAGGCCUCUCUCUCUCAAGCUCUAAUUUCAUACCGUAUCAGAUAUUUUUACAGCUUUUAUUCACUAGAAAAAUCCCUUUGCCUUAUUUUGUUUAUUUAAAUUGCAAUGCAGUUUAACAGGGGCACUAGUGCCAUGCAACAUUAUGUGGCAACACGUCCAAUGUUUAUUGACGUGGAAGUCAUGAAUGCAGAUACCAGAUUGGUUCUUGGUGAUGAGGGUUCACAGGCUAGUCCUAGCAAUGUUGCUCGUGGACUUUCUUCUUUAUAUAAAGAAAUCACAGGUUUAAAAAAUACCGUUGAUCCAGAUUAGAGGUUAUAUUCCUCAAUAUAUUUGUUAUAUCUUUGUUUCUAUUGCAGAUACUGUGCGCAAGGAAGCUGCAACAAUUAUGGCUGUAUUCCCUUCUCCUAAUGAAGUUAUGUCAAUCUUAGUUCAGGUACCAACCAGGAUUUUACUUUAUUUUAUUCUUUUUAUCUUUUUUGCAUGAGUGUAUCUUUGCUCCCCACACUUCACCCAGUUGUAGCCUAACCAUCCCCUUCUAAGCCUGCCAUGCAUCAUAUAAACCAUUGGGCAAACCCUUUGCAAUCAAGACAUCCCAUCUGGAUGCAUUGACUGCAAUGUUAACCCAGGGUUAGUUUAUAUAACACAUAGGCUUGGAAGGGAUUGGUAAGCCUACAUGUUGGUUAAGGGUGACGACGAAAAAUGACUCCUUUUGGGUUCAUUUUGGUUCCAUGUUAAUGAAGUACUUGAUUUUUUAUUUAUUUUUCACCUUUAUAACUAGUUUUCUUACGUUGGGUGCAGCGAGUUUUAGAGCAGAGAGUUACUGCUCUACUUGACAAAUUAUUAGUUAAGCCAUCUCUGGUGAAUAUACCUCCUAUAGAAGAAGGCGGACUUCUACUAGUGAGUAAAUUUACUAUGGCUGUUUCCUCCCUCCCUCCUCUCUUUCUUGCACACUAAAUGCUUUUGAACUAACAAUCAGUUCUUUCUUUAACUUGUAUUUGACCUGAGGCUGCAGUAUCUUAGAAUGCUAGCAGUGGCGUAUGAGAAGACACAAGAACUUGCUAGAGACCUACGAGCUGUGGGAUGUGGUGACUUGGAUGUCGAGGGUAAUGAAUUAACUUGAAAACUAGCUCCUUAUUUAUUUGUUUUCUCAAUGCAGAGUACUUGUGUGACUAUUAUGGUACUAAUGGUUAAUAUAAGGUAACCAUGAGGCUUUUGGCCAAAAAUAAAAGGCUUGUGGAUUGUGUUUUGGAGCAAUUGACACUGGAAAGAUUAAUUGGGAAACAAAGAUAGGCAGCACUCGAGAUGCCUGAUAUGGUUUAAGAAACUUCGAUUUCUAUAUUGUUGAGUUAAUCUACUGCGGGGUUCUAACUAGAUGGUUCCAGUUGCCUCCAAUGUACUUGGACUUUGCCCUUGUUUUUAAAAAAGAUGUUUUUAUUUAUUAAAAUAGCAGAAAUUGCUAUUCUUUAACAAAUCCUAGGCUCACAGCCAACAAAUAUUUACCUGUACCAUCUUACUUGGUGAGAAUGUUUGCAUUCAGUCAGUCCUCAUUUUGCUUUGGUUGGAAUUGCUUCAUUCUACUUAUCUACUCGGGGAUUUUCAUAGAAAGUUCCUCUGAUGGUGCAGGCCUCACGGAGUCUCUAUUUUCUUCUCACAAGGAUGGAUAUCCUGAACAUGAGCAGGGCUCUCUUAGACAACUAUAUCAAGCUAAGGUUUGCAUCAAAUGCAUCAUCUCUUGACCAAGCUAACUCUCAUUCUGUGUUGGUGGUAACAAUCCAUAACAUGCAUUACUCUUUGCAGAUGGCAGAACUACGUGCUGAAAGCCAGCAAAUAUCUGAAUCAAGUGGAACAAUUGGGCGUUCAAAAGGGGCUGCAGUAGCAUCUUCCCACCAGCAAAUAUCUGUCACUGUUGUGACAGAGUUUGUCCGUUGGAAUGAAGAAGCAAUUACCAGAUGCACAUUGUUUUCAUCUCAAGUAAUGUUUGUUGUUUCAAGGGAUUCUACAUAUGAUUACUCGGGAGUUUUCAACUUUUAUCUAAUGACUUAGGAUUCGGGAAAAAUGUUUGCCUAGUAUGUUUUAAAGUCUGGAAGAAACAUAUUUAUAAUUAUGCCCCUAAGUUUUGCUUUGACAGUGUUCCAGUGUAGUGUUACUUCUGUUCUCCCCAACAUUGGGGUCUACCUUUUCUUUUUCUCAUUUGGCUUUAUCAGGUUAACGUGCAUUAACAGAGUUCCUUUGUUUAAUGUUGAAAUUGGAGAUUGGUUAUGAGGUGUUUUAAAAUCUAUCUGCACACGGAGAUUAUGAAUUUGAAGACAUAGUUGUAUGAAAUUCAUGCUAAAAGGAGCUUUUUCCCCUGUGGAUAAGUAGGAAAUUCACCUUCAUUGGUGCAUUAGUCAGGUGCAUGUUAUGCUGAUGAUAUAAAACUGAUAAUUGGGAGAUGGGCAAACUCAUUAAGGGUAGGAAAAUAGGGGGAAAAACAAUGUCCUUGUAGAUGGUAAAAUUGGGGUUUGAAUUGUACUGGUUUUUUAUAAAGUAUCAGAUAUUAUACCAGUUUAACAAAUUGAUUUUUUACAUGUUGUUGUACAGCCUGCAACCCUUGCAGCAAAUGUGAAAGCAGUCUUCACUUCCCUGCUAGACCAAGUAAGUUGGUUCUUAGAUAGAGGGUUUGAUCAAAUUUUGGUUCAUACAGGUUCAGUUUUUAUUUUUAUUUUUAAAUUAUCAAAGAACGAAAUUCAGGAAUGUUUUUAACAUUUCAGGUCAGUCAAUAUAUAACAGAAGGUCUUGAACGAGCAAGAGACAGCCUGACUGAAGCCGCAGCUUUGAGAGAAAGAUUUGUGCUGGGCACUAGCGUUAGUAGAAGGGUAGCUGCUGCUGCUGCUUCUGCUGUACUUACCUUAUCGUAUACUUUUUGUUGCAUUCUAAAUUGUGAACUAUAGAAUGUAGUUAUAUUUUAAAUAAAUGUAUAGUCUACCCAACACGGUGGAGUUAAGGGAUAUGAAUGGCUGAUGUGUAGGCAGAAGCUGCUGCCGCCGCUGGUGAAAGCAGUUUCAGAUCUUUCAUGGUUGCUGUACAACGCUGCGGUAGUAGUGUGGCUAUAGUUCAGCAAGUAUGUUUCUGGAUUGCCAUUAUCUAAAUGCUUUGAAUGUUGCUUUGAAUGGAAUGACCUGGUAUGUUAUGAGAGCUUAAAUUGAUUGCCAUUUUUCUCUCCAGUAUUUUUCAAAUUCUAUAUCUCGGCUUCUACUCCCCGUCGAUGGUGCACAUGCUGCUUCAUGUGAAGAAAUGGCAACGGCUAUGUCCAGUGCAGAGAGUGCUGCAUAUAAGGGGCUUCAACAGUGUAUUGAAACUGUGAUGGCGGAGGUUAGUUAUUGAAUUGUAGAUCUGCUAUUUAGAUUCUAGGGUUAGGCAUGUAUACUUCAUAAUUCCACCCCUUUAGUAUCAAUUAAGUAUAGUAUUGGUUUGUCUUUCAUGCUAGGUGCUGCUCUACAUGUGUGUACACUAGUUCUUGCUGAUUCUUGUGUUUCUUGAAUAUGUAUUUUGCUCUCUAUGUCAAUUCCUCCAUCUCUCAUCUUUUUCCUAUUGUGAAAUUCCUACUAUCCAGGUGGAGCGGUUACUUUCUGCUGAACAGAAGGCAACAGAUUAUAGAUCACCUGAAGAUGGAUUUGCUCCUGAUCACCGGCCAACAAAUGCCUGUACAAGGUACAACCGAUGAAUAAUUAAAGCCUAUCUUAAGGGCUCCUGAAAACUUGUCAUUUAAUUUGUUCUCUUACAGACGUGUUGUUUCUUGAUGUUGAAUAACAUAUCUCUCCUCUUGUCUAGAGUUGUAGCGUAUCUUUCUCGUGUAUUAGAAUCAGCAUUCACAGCACUUGAAGGUCUUAACAAACAAGCCUUUCUGACUGAAUUAGUAAGUAGUUCGUUUGUGGUUUGAUUUAUGUGAUUCCAUUCCUAUUGUAGCUCUUUUGCAGUCAUAGAUUUAGAAUUAGAUUGAAUACUGUAGAACAUUGAGUAAUUGAAAGGUGAACUGCAUAUUGCAUGGCCAUGAACACAGCAAGAAUGCUUUCAACUAAUAUAUGAUACAGUGAGAAAUGGUUGUAUCAAAAUUCAUUGAACACAAAAAAGGAAAAGAAAAAAGCAGAACAAUUGCAUUAUACAAGACCUUUCACAUUAUCUCUUUGUGGCAUGUGUUAGAUCAAUUAUGAUAUAAUGCACAAAGAUUGCCAAACAAAAUUAUGCAGUUUAUGAUAUUUCUCAUUGUCAUUCUCUUAUUGUAAUAUGCCUGGGUAUUAACUCAAUAUUUUUGGGUUUGGCUGCCAUGGUUAGGGAAUUUGUAGUGAUAAUAUAGUGAUGAUGAAUCUUUGCACCUUCACAUUUGAAUUUAUAUUAUGGUGAAAACUUUUACUAGGGAAACCGCUUGCACAAAGGGCUGCUAAAUCAUUGGCAGAAGUUCACUUUUAAUCCCAGGUAGGUGGACUUUCUCAUAAUAUGUUUUGUGGCCUGCUAAUUAGUUGAAAGUUUCACAUCACGUAACUCGUACUAAUUGUUUCUUCGUUUCUCAGUGGAGGACUGCGGCUGAAGCGUGACAUAACUGAAUAUGGAGAAUUUGUGCGUAGUUUCAAUGCUCCUUCCGUUGAUGAAAAAUUUGAAUUGCUGGGCAUGUAAGUUUCCAAGAAAUUGCUAGAUUUCCAGCUUCUAUUCAUGUUGAUAUUUUGAAUCUGAAUGUAAUGAUGAUCUUUUUUCUGCAGAAUGGCCAAUGUGUUUAUUGUUGCUCCUGAAAGCCUCUCAACUCUGUUUGAGGGUACCCCCAGCAUACGGAAAGAUGCACAGAGGUAUCAGUUCAAACAUGUUGUGAACUGUGGACUGUAAAAACACUCUUAGAACACACAUGCAGACACAUGAAACUCAUUUUUUCCCUUCCAAGGAAAGAAGAGAGAUGCUUUCCAAUUGAUGGAAAGUUUCCAAAUUUCUCGACUUAUUUUUUAAAACAUCCAGAAAGAAAUACACUAGUAUCAAUUCAGCAUGAAGUUGUUUUGUCAGAGUGACAUUUAUUUAUUUUUCACUAUCUCAUUGCUUUCACUGCUUAUCAAGGUUUUCUGUUGGUUGUGAUAAAGUUUUGAUUUGGAUCGGAAAUCAGGUUUAUUGAGCUUAGAGAGGACUACAAGAGCGCAAAGAUUGCUGCCAGACUUAGUUCCUUGUGGACAAGUUCUAGUUAAUACCGAAUCAGUCUGCUGAUUAGAUAUGACCUCCCAAAUUUUAAUUCUCAUCCAGCUGCUCCUGAGCUUAGAAAAAUGGCACAUCAAGUUGAAUUCAUCUGGAGGCACAGACGCCAAGCAAAGGAACCAAUUGAAAUUAAAUUAACUGUCUGGUUAAGGAGCUGAUCUUUGGACAGAUAAUUGAAUACAGAAAUUGUUUUUCUUUCCAAUUCAGUUGAGUGUAUAUUUUUGAAGGUAUAAAUAGGAGGACCUGAAAGAUUUGUAGUAUUUUAGAGCUUGAAUUUAUUUGCUAGGGUUGCGAAUUAAAUUGACAAUAUGAGGAUAUGAAUCAUAAGAUGUACCCGUGUUUGCCUUUUGUAAAUGAUACUUUCAGGAAAUAAUUUAAGACAACCGAAGUUUGAAUUUGUGAAUGCUUUGCUUGUUUCUUUAUUUCAGCUCGAACAAUAUUUCAUUUUAACAUAAUUGGGGCUUGUAGCUCAAGUAGUUAAGAGUAUUUACUCUUGUACCUAUAGUCCUGGGUUUUAAGUUUGUUUCCCCUCUCCUCCAAUAUCGCUUGGAUCCAAAAAAACUAAAAAAAACACACGUAAUAGAGCUCUACUGUUGUCUGUAAUUAGUCAAAGGGCGCAAAAAGGAAGGUACAAAGUUCAAGUUGAUGUUUUCACUCCCAGGUCCAUGAAUCACAUGUAGGAAUGAAGGAAAAAGAAAAAGUUAUGGCUAGUGAUGGAGAUAUAUUCAUCCAUGGCCCCGCCCUUUGUGGUGGGCUUCCUCCUAUAUCUUUGCUGGCUAGGCACCCUCCUUCUCCCCCUUUCCUUAUUAAGUGCUCUCUCUCUCUCUCAAGAGAAACGGUGAUUGAUGUAGAAAGUUUAGUGGGGGUGGCUAGUAAUGGAUUACCCAUCUCCUCUGAUAGCAAAGGUAUCUAUCACUUAAAUGUCCUUGUGCCAAACCCAUUAUAAAACCAUCUGCCUAUCUUACGAUAGGCCAAGACACACACCCAAAAAAACAAAAACAAAAAAAGAUGAAAUGAAACAACAGGUGCCAAAAGAUACUGAAUAUCCCAACAAUCAUCAUAGUUUUUGUGGUUGUGCGGUUGCUUGCUAUGGCUUCUCAUACUUGUCAAGCCCUACCUUUUUCAAGUCUCUAUUAUUUUGACCCAUAAGCCAAGUCAUAGCAAGCAAGCAACUCAAAAAUCUCAAAAUCCCUUUCAACAUAUCCACAACCCCAAAUGGAUAGAAACAAACAAGCAGAAGAGUUAAUAGCGUGUUACGUGUAUCCUUGACCAUUGACCACCCAAAAUGGAGAUUGAACUAAAAAAAUUAUAUAUUACCCAAAACCACCAGAAAGAUUUUUCAUUCAAAGUGCUUCACAGCUUUGUAUGAAUGUUAAUACGUUACCAAGUGUUGUGUUGUGGAUGGAGAGGGAGAGAGGAGAGAGGAGAGAGAGAGAUAUAGAGAAGUGUGUGACGGCAGGUUUGUGUCAUAAUUAUGUUGUGGAUGGAUAGUGGUGGGUGGUCCAAAGUCUAGAAAUGCCUCCCCUCCCCUGCCUUCAACAUGAACCAUCAUUAUCAACAGCUCCGGUUUCACUUUAUUUUCUCGGCCCAAAAAGAUGGUGUGAUUAACUGGAUUUAAUCUUAUGAGCUUCUACAAGUAUCCAUCUCUCAAAAGAAAGAGAUGAUGGAGGGAAACUUGUUUGGUAUGAAAACUACAAGAAUUGGAAAGGAUUUCAUGCACCUACACCAAUCAGUCAAGUUUCAACAGAAACAAUCGAGAAUGCUAGCUACUUUCAAUUUUUUUGUAUUUUUAAUUCACAUUCUCAUUCUGCAAUGUUGUAUUACGUUAAAAAAACGUUCACUUUUUUUUUUUUAUUUCUGCCAAAAAAUAAAACUUACUAAAAAUCAUUUAGUUAUUUGAUUAAUAAUAUGGUAAGUGUAUAUAUAUAUUUUUAAUACAAGCGAUUAAGGGAGGAAAGUGUUUGGUUAAAAUCAAACCUAAAAGAUUAGACAGUUUCGAUUAUUAAACCAAAUUUCAUGAUGAAAAUUAGAUAGUAGAAUAUAGAGGGCAAUGUACAAAGAUAAGGGUAUCUAGUAUUCCUCAUCAAGUAAAUACGUAGAAAAAUAAUCCUCUAUGUAAGGGAAAUAAACUUUACAUCUGUCUUGUAGAUGUUGUUAAUAGUGCAUGUGUGCUUAUCUGACUAUACGUCUAGACCAAAGAUCAAAAUAAGAUAACCUAUUUUAUACCAAUUUGGGUCUUCCCCAAUUGUCAAAGUCAACACAAUCAAAUUGUUUUAAAUUAAUUAAAAACAAAUGCAAAUGGAAUGGGAUGAUGGGCACCCAAAAUCUAGUUCAACUUGAGUAAUUUGACGAGGUCAGCUGACCAAAUUGCUAACUCUGCUUGCCAUGACCCUCAAAGUUGGGGGGCUUGUAGCUUUGUAUACACUCCCCUCAUUUUUCCUAUUUUUGUUUUUUCUCGGAUUUAGUUUGUCUUUUCUUUUCUUUUUUUUUUUCCCACCGUAAUUUCUUUAAAUUUUAACAUUGGAUGGAGACAUUGACCCCACACGCUUACUAUUCAAUGCCUCGUGCACCCACGUCUUGGCACCAACCUCACAUGCAAUUCGUUCAACUCACUAACACCAUCUUAGUGAGUCGCACUCUAUCACCGCAUUUUUUCAGUAUAUUCUCCACACAAUUCUUCAACCUCCACCGUUGGAUUGAUUCGACAAAGAGAGAUACUAAACCCACAUUGAAUUACAAGAUUAUGACUUGUCAAGAGUGAAAAUUUACUUUUUAAAAUAAUAACAACUCGUGACAGGUUGGUGUUUUGUAUUCAGUUAAAUUAUAACAUGUGGUGAAUUUAAUUAGGGAUAAUGAUUUCUUCUUAGUACGUCUCUCGAGAUCGAAGUCAUGCCCUAUAUAGCUAAUCAUAUGUUCUGUUGCAUGUCGAAGCUUCUUGGAAAGUUGAGUAUUAACGAUUGUACAGAUAUGUUAUAAUUUGAGUGAUUUGUAACGCUAUAUUGACAGCUUAUGUGAUGAUACUGUGCUGUCACAUGAUUUAUUUAGAGAAAAUUACUGCUGGCUGGCAUGCCACGUCAGCUUUCGUGCGCCGUAGAUCCACAGUUGCAAUGUUGUCUCAGUGUGAAUCCCCUCCCGUAGCCGUCGGAUCGUCUUACUUUGCCUUUGGUCGUCGAGCCGUUAGAUCAGCGCUUGGACUUUGACUCUUUGAUGGCGGCAUUAUUGGGCACACCGUACUCGCUCGAAGGAGAUAGAAAUACAAACUCGCUGUGGGCUGGCGAGACGUGGAGGGUAUAACUUGAGAGCACCGCUACCUGGAACCCAUGUGCCGGUCACGAGCGUUAAGGAGUGGGGAGGUGCUCCUUUGAUGAAGAAAGUGGGGACAGGGAGAGUACAGAAGAAACAAAGGCAUCAAAACCCAAAAAGAAGGGAACAGAUGCUGCUUCUGCUGCUGCUCCUUUUUGAUAUAGAAAUGGAAUUCUACAACCCCAAUGCACAAGCACAACAAACACAUUUCCUUAUUGAAUUAAAAUCAAAUAAUUGGGUAAAACACCUUUAAAAGUGGGGGAAUGAAUUGAUUAUGAAAAGUUUAAACCUACUAUUUUACUUAAUUAAAUCAUGCAAUCCUUUUAUAUUUGGGUAGAUGUGUUCCCGACUUUAUUCAGAAUGUUGUGUUAAUUGAUUAUAUAAGUCAGGUUUCAUGACUCUUAGUUGUAUUUUUCGAUUUUCAAUAAAUUAGUUCUCUUACUUUCAAGACUUCACUAUCAUACGUUCUCUAAAAAUGAAUCAUUGUUUAAGUAGUUCUCAAAUUUUUUUAUGUCAACAUUGACCUUGAAAAAUCAAUGGUGGUUUGGAGGGAUUUGAAAUAAAUUUGAAUGUCAAUCAUUCAAAUGAUUCAAGGGUUGGUCACACCAUAAAUUUUUACGGUCAAUAGUAACCUAGUGAUAAAAACUUUUCAAAUUAGAUUGUUGAACAAUUUAAAGUCUUUUGGGAUCCUUUAUGAGUCAAUAUUGAUAUUUAGGAUUGGCCAUGAUCAUAUUAUAUUUAAGGGGGGGUGUUCAUUGAUUUAUAUUCGAAUUCCUAUUAGGAUUCAAUCUAAUUUCAAUUGAAUUAAAUGGUGUUUGAUGACUGAUUUGUUGUCAAAACAGAAAAUUAUUCAAACAAAACAAAGUUGUCAUGAAAUCAAACCACAAAUUUUGGUAAAAUUAGAUGCCAUGCAGCAAUGAAUUGGAGACCUAAUUGAAUGCCAAAGCAGCAUCAAAGCAUUGGUUUCUUAAAUUAGAAGGGUCUUAAUAAAAUGCCACAAUCAUGGGAAUUUAUCAAACUAAAUCAAAGCUUGAUUGAACUGAUUGAUUCAGAAUUAAUCUAAUUAGAUGUUAAAACAUCCCUAAUAAAAACACUAAUCUGUCAUUUUCCCAAGAUUACGGAUAGGCACGUAAGCAGGAGGAGGAGGACGCAAAUUAGGCUUUUGUAAUUCUUUACCUACCCACUAAAAAAUCUUUGCAAUACCACCAAGCAAGCAUUUUUGACAGGAGCGCCCAAAUUAACUGGCUUCCACUUUUCCAUUAUUUUUUAUUUAAUUUUAUUAUAAUAAAGUUGAAUUAAAAAAUAAUUUAUUUAUUAUCUAUUUCUCCUUUUGUCGGUAUAACUCACGAGCUCCACUCGCUAUACACCGUGUGGAACUUUUCCUUAAUCAAAACCCGCUUUGACAUUUGAGCAAGUCAACCCCAAAACCGAAAACCAGUUUCCCCAUUUGAAUUUCUUUUUUCAUUUCCUUCUCUCUCUCUCUCUCUCUCUCUCUCUCUCUCUGCAAAAGCAAAACAAUGCAUAGAGAUGCCUUCUUCCUCUCGCCCUUUCUCUCACUAGGAAAACCACUUGUUUUCAGGCACCCUUUAGACUUUUGUGCAUAAAAUCCCACUGUCCCUCUCUCUCUCUCUCUCUCUCUCUCUCUCUCUCUCUCUCUCUCUAUAUACAUUGUUUAUAUAAUUCCUCUCCUACUCAUCACACCCUUAUCAUCUCUCUCCCCUCUCUCUCUUACCAAUAAAAAGUCAGCGCCUUCUUUUGUCUGCCUCUUCCUUUCUUUGUCCUCAAACAGUGAUAGCUAGCAGACACAAGGUACAGAUUCAGAAACCUUGUCUCUCUCUCUCUAAAUGGAAGACGAUUGGGAUCUUCAGGCGGUGGUCAGAGGCUGCUCCACCGGCACAACCACCAGCAACAGAAGCACAGCCACCACCAACAGCAACAACAGCACAUGCUUCAAAAUCUCGAACUUCCAUUCAAGCCCUGCUUUUUCUUCUUCAUUUGGAACCGCUACUCUGCAGCCUGGCCUACAGCAACCACAAUUCCAAGUGCUUUUCUCUCUUCCAGAUCCCAUUAAACCCAGAAAUGCCAUAGAGGACUUGCAUGAGCUUUACAAGCCCUUCUUCCCCAAAUCUCAGCCUCCCCUCUCCUCGCAAAUCACACCACCACCCAAUCUCUCUCCUUUGACUUCUCUCACUCCUCUGACUGCACCCAAAGAUCAAACACAUCCCAUUCAACAACAUCAACACCAAAACCACUACCAGCAACAACAACAACAACAACAGUCCAAGCCAUCAUCUCAUUCUGUUUCCUCCACCACCACCCCACGAUCCAAAAAAAGGUACAAUUUUUCUCUUUGAUUUUCUUUGUAACUUCAAAAAAACUCAAUUUUGGGAGAUACCCUUCUCGUAAAUUGCGCUAUUUAAUCCAUAAUUUAAGUUAUUUAUACGUCUCUUUCCCAUUUCAGAAAGAACCAGCUUAAGAAAGUGUGCCAAGUACCAGCUGAGAGCCUCUCUGCAGACAUAUGGGCAUGGCGUAAAUAUGGCCAAAAACCCAUCAAGGGCUCCCCAUAUCCAAGGUGGGUGGGUUUCAUUUCAUUUCAUUUCUCCCAAAACUUAAAUAAAAAUGGCAAAUUUUUUAUUUAUAUAAAAUUGCUUUUACCCAUUUUAAUUGUCCAUGAAGGAAAAUGGCUAAUUUUAUGUUGUUUCAACCAAAACAGGGGAUAUUACAGAUGCAGCAGCUCAAAGGGUUGUAUGGCCCGAAAACAAGUGGAGCGGAACAGAUCCGACCCGAAUAUGUUCAUAGUUACCUACACAGCCGAGCACAACCACCCGGCCCCAACUCAUCGCAACUCGCUCGCCGGCUCCACCCGCCAGAAGCCCUUCUCGCCGCAAACCGUCACGGGCAGUGACUCUACCAAACCCACUUCUCCGGCAACCUCGGCGUCCGUCGACGAAGACCCUGUUGUACCUCAGAGUACAACCAUGGAAAGCUUCAAAGAAGAAAAGGGCAGUCCUAUGGUCGACGACGACGACGACGAGCUCUUUGGGAUGUGUGAUUCGGUCGUGAGCGACGAUUUCUUUGUGGGUUUGGAGGGUCUCGCCGGAGAUUACUUUUCCGAUCACUCUCCGACGAGCUUUGGCGUCCCCUGGGUUUCUAGUAAUGCUGCGACCGCCGCUGGCAGUAUCUGAUUCGUCGAUAAAAGUCAUCUCUUUUGUCAACACUUCUCUUUUUUUCUUUUGGGGGUAUUUUUGACUUUUUGUUUAGAGAGAGAGAGGGAGAAAGAAAGGGUUAGGGGUGUAACUAUGGGUGGAAUCUUAAUUAUGAAAUUAGUAGGGGGGAAAAAGGCUUGUAGUUUUAGAUUAGUGAAUUAGUUUUCUUUUUUAUUUGUUGAUUUAUUUUUGGUUUGAGCAAAGUUAGUGGUAGUGAUUCUACUACUAGUAUAUUACAAUGAAUAUUGGUGAUUUUAAUUUGUUGAUCAUUUUUGUGAUUAGCAAAAUUUGUGUUGGUUUACCAUUCCUACAAUGUUGGUUUGUGCCCAUUCUAAAUCUAUUUUCUUUUUACUAAAUGCAAAAAUGGAUUAUUGAUGUAUGCCAUGGCUUGAUUGGUCCAAAAGCCAAAUUGGUACCCAAGUCCAAGAGCCAGUUUGGCACCAACUCUCUCUCUCUCUCUCUCUCUCUCUCUCUCUCUCUCUCUCUCUCUCUGUGUUAUUUGUGCCUGGUUUUAAUGCCUUAUUUAGUCCAAUUAAUGAGAAAACAAAUAAUCUUAUUUGAGCAUGUAUAAAUGAACUAUCAACAUCAUUCACACCUUGAGCCAAAACAAAACCUCAAUAGCUGUUACUUGUCCAUGGCAAGUUGGGGUCACAAGAGAUCAAGGUUGGCCUUGAGGACCCUAAGUCAUUAAUAUGCAUAAAUAACUUAAAUCAUAUUUUAAAAAAUAAAAAAUUUCCCAUAAUAUUUGCCAACAGAGUCGAGCUCAGUGGAAAAGUAGCUUGAGUUGCAGACCAUAGGUUUCACCUUUGAAUCCCCACGAUAUCAUAGUUGUGUGUGUGUGUGAAAAAUCCUUCUCCCAUGCAAUAUAGAUUAUCGCUUAUACUCAAAAGAAUUCCUCUGAUAUUUAAACUCAAAAUCUUCUUUAACAAAGUAAAAACUAAAUGUCAAUAAAUCAAAUGAUGACCCAGAAUUUUUUAAUAUUAAAGAUUUCAACAUAAACAUAUCGAGUUGCUAUUGAUUAUUACUUGAAAUGAAUCCCAUACCACACUUCUUCUUUUUUUUUAAUUUUUUUGGUAACAUGUGGGAAAACAUUUUUGUGAGGCUUAUCAUCUUCUCCACCAAAGAUCACAAAAUUUCUUCUCCACCGAAGAUCACAAAAUUGAGAAAUUUCGGUGCCAUUCCCAUUCGAAACUCAACUCAUUUAUUAAAAGAAGAAAAGGGUCAAAAGUAUUGAUUGAGGUCGAAAUAAACAAGUUCAAUGUUAUUGACGUUAAAGUUUGUCAGCGUAAUGAUUGUCGGUGGUUGAGAUAGCCUCGACGGUUGACGACGAUAUUCCGCAUGAAAACUUUUUCUGUAUUUUAACAGAUUAAAAAGACGAAAAAGGGUUUAUGAAUAAAAAUAGUUUUAUUUCAUUUUCUUUCACAUGCUUGUAGAAUUAUGAGAUUCUUUUUUUUUCUUUAUUGGCAUAAAAAGUGAUGGGUUCUCAAUAUGAUGAGUAGGGUUCAAUUUACCACCCUUGAAAGAGUUGAAUGAUUUUGAUUGGCUUAAAGACGAGCUCCAAUUUUAAAGUAGAAUUUUGCAAUGAGGCAAAAAUGUUGUUGCAACUUGCAAGCUUGCAACACCUCUCUCUGAAAAUGGUUUUCUCUAGUCAAUUGGGUUUCGAGCUAAAGAAGGAGUCUAAGAGAUUUGUAUUGUAAUCAGUGUUCAAAUCAAACCAUCAAACAUGAACUUGGAUUCACCCAACCAAAUCACUUGUUCAUCAAGUGUCAACGCUGCCUUUUCAAUAAUUACCCAUGUUACACAAAAAAAUAUGUCAUAAUUUGCAGAGAAGGAAUCUCUGCCUGCCUCCUUUGCCAUGCUGCUACAGUUCAUAAAAAAGGCAAAACAUUUGUUAGGACAUGAUUAUGUGAGACUUGAGAAAAUAGAGGUUACAAAAAAUCAAGAAAUUUCUUAAGAUUGCUAGCAAUGAAAACAACCAAAAGUGCAUUCAUACAAGAAAAUGGUGUCACCAGACUUAUUCACUGCAAUGUUAUUUUCAUAGAAAAGCCAGAAAAUGUAGCUUUCAAUUCAAAUAUAACUUAGAAGACUGUUGCCUGAUUCUCACUACAAACACAUCCUUGUUUGCCUGAUCUCAACAUGGAAGAGGGGAAUCCACCCAAGGACAUGAAAAAUGCUGCAGCAACAGAGACUCAGAUAAGCAGUCUUUGAACUGAGGGGUGUCCAAUAUUGAACUGAAAAAUACAACUACAUGGCUAGAAGUUGGAACCCAUUACGCUUUCUCCUAAGCAUGGCCGACUCUGAAAUCGACAAUCUAUAACCAAUACUGACAUUCUUUUGUCCGUGCAGUUACUCUAUGCAGUAGAAGCAGCAACCUCAUAUCCUUGAACAAACCUUCUCAACUUUUCCGUUUCACCAACUGCGGAAAGCCAUUCCGUGAGAAUCUCCAUGGUUAUGUAAUCAGGAUUACAGGCAUGUUUAAUCAUUUGAUCCAUAAAUUCAAAUGCUUUCUCCAAUAAAUUAUUCUCCUUAAGACCUUUGAACAAGGCAUUGAAUGUCGCAGUAUUAGGUCUCACCCCCUUAUCUUUCAUACUGUCUAUCAAAGAAAUAGCAAGUUCCACUUCAUUCUUCUUGCACAAAGUAUCAAUUAAAAUAUUGUAAAUUACAGUGUUGGGAGGAACCUUCGAUUUAGAACCCAUCUCUCUGAAGAUUUUCAUGGCUUUGUCAGUAUUGCCAUUCAAGCAAUAUGCAUGAAUCAAUGCUCCAAAAGUGAUAGCAGUAGGAACAAGACCCUCAUCUAUCAUCUUGCUCAAUAUUCUAUGACCGGUUGUAAGUUCCCCAGCUUUGCAGAAAUAGGAAAUCAAGGUGUUGUAUGUUACACCAUCAGGCUUUACUCCAGCUGCCUCCAUUUCCUGAACCAUCUCAUGGACCUUAUCAAGUUUAUUCUUCUUGCAGAACCCAUUAAUCAAAACAUUAUAGGAAACGAGAUCCAGGGAGAAACAGGCCUCCUUCAACUUUGAUACAACAGAGAUGGCAUCAUCCAUCCUUCCAGCUUGGCUUAAACCAGAGAUCAAGCUGUAGUAAACUAUUGCAUCUGUGGAGCCUCCAUCUCUCAACAUUUGCUCAAACAAUUCCAUUGCCAUGCUAAUAUUGUUCACAUUGCAAAAGGAAGUGAUUAAGGUUGCGUAAGUAACAGCAUUGCCUUUCACACCAUCCCUUUGCAUUUCAUUUAAGAACUCAAUUGCACUGUUGAGUCUCCCAUGCUUGCAUAGACAAUCAACCAUGGUAUUCAGAGUUAUCACACUUGGCGAUAUGCCUUCCUCCUUCAUUUGGUGAAAGAGCUCACAACCCCUCUCAAUGUCCCCGACCUUGUUGAAACCGUCAAUCAAACAAUUGUAGGUAACAGUAUUAGGUGCACAGCCAUUCUGCAAUCUCAUUUUUUCCAUCAAACGCAAACCUUCUUCUUGCCUUCCCACUUUACAAAGUCCAUCAAUCAGAGUGUUAUAAAUGACCACAUCGGGUUCAGUCGAAACCCCAUCACUCUUCUCUCUUCCUUCACUGAUCUUUUCAAACAACUCCAAGGCCUCAUCUAUCCUCCUAGACUUGCACAAAGAAUUAAUAACAAUACCAAAAGUCACAACAUCAGGAUGAAUGUCCAUCUCUUUCAUCUUUACCAUUAGCUCAUUCAUUCUCUUAAAAUCAUUACAUCUUGUCAAACAUGUCAAAAGCGCAUUGCAAGAAGCAGCUUUUACAUCACCACCCAACUUCAUGACAUCAUGUAAAACAUCCCAAGCCUUAUUAGUCUUCCUGUUCCUACACAAGGCAGUGAUCAAUUUCGUAAGCUUCACGCUAUCAGGAAACACACCACGCUCACCAAAUUUCAACACCAAACCCACAAUGUCCUCCUCACUGAAGCUCCUCCCCGGCCACUCUCUCUUCAAUAAAUAGGAAAGCACAAUAUCACCCGUAACCUGGUCGACCCGGCCCUCAGCUUUUGGAGCAAACAUUUCGUCGAGCACCUUUAGUGCAUCAUCGACACAUCCCGAUUUCAACAUCACAUCAAUCGCCGCAUUGCGGAGAUGGGUGUUUUUCAAACCCGGGUCUAGAUCAUUAAACACAAUGAGCGCCUCAUCCACCAUGCCAACCAUGCCUAAAGAUCGAACGAGCAGAGCAGCGGCGCUGAUAUUAAGCGGGAUGUUCCGCUCUUUCGCCAUCUUAUACAAGUCAUAAAGCUUGUUUUGCGAGGUGGGUUCUCGCUUAGCGAGCUCAAGAAUGGCCUGGAAUGAUGACGAGAGCGAAUCCGUCGAGUCUGGUGGGCUUGCCACAUUUUCCGAAACGUACUCGAAGAACUUAAGGGCCUUGGAGGAAGCGCCAAGGCGGCGAGUGAUGUGGAAAAGUGAGCGAGGUGAAGGAGCGGCGGAGUUGGAGAAGAGGAGGUGGUGGAGUUGGUCAAAGUUCCAGUCUUUUUCAUUGGGUUGGAGGAGCUCGACCGCUUGGGUUAUCAGCAAGUCGUCGUCUUUGGGUGAUUGGUUGGGCUUAGGGUUGGGUUCGGUUUCGGGAUCGGUGGAAAGGUGGUGGCUGAGGAGGAAGAUGGAGGAUUGGGUUUUGGACGUUUGGGGUUUAAGGAGGUUGAGGAAGGAUUUUGAGUGCUUUGAAGCUGAGAGUGAUAGAGUGUUCAUUUUGUUCGGUAGAGAUUUGAAUGAAGGGGUUUAGGGUUUAAGAUCAUGGACAAGUAGAUUUGGACGAAGUAGCUUUGUUUCUGGUUUUUCUUUUUAUUAUUAUUAUUUUGAGUUUUAAAUGAUUCGAAUGUCCAUUGCUCCAAAAUUAAAAUUCUAGGUUCUAUUCGAUUUUUACAAAAUUCAUCCAACUAGCAAAAGAUCCACAAGAUGACUUUUUAUACAGUCCUCUUGUUUGUCACAUCAAAAAGAAUAUAAAUCACUCAAUUGCUACAAAUCCUACCGCAUAGGUUAAUAUUCCCAACUUCCCACCCUUUAUUUGUCCAAAGAAAUGUGGAAAAUGAAAGGCAAACACCUGUAUUCUGUACUCAAAAAAUAGCAACAAAAAACAAGUUUUGGUACAAAAAUUACAGUAGGGUCUACUUUUAUGCUCGGAUCAUGAAUAAAUAUGGAAAUGGCUUCAAAUAUCUUAUUUUUGAAGUUGCUUCCAAAUUCUGAACACAACUUUCUGCAAUAGCAACUUUUCUUUUACAACUCAAAAUGGAACCCAACUGCAUACUUUUGAUACCUCACUGUUACAAAGAGAAAAUUGUCCUGCUCUUUCAAAAUUCUUCUGUGGCCAUUUACUUCGUAAUGAAACUUUCAACCAAAUAUGCUGGGUUUUGCCCAUUAUCAGUCACUUGCAGGGCUGCCUUCAGUAGGUUAUUUGCUUGUACUAAUCUUCUCAGCUGCUUCAGCUGCUGCAGAUGCUGCCUUGUCCAAACCCAACUUUGUUAACUCACUUAAAAAGCCAUAAACUUCAGCAGCACUGAUUUUAUAUGGGCUGUGGGCAGCGCCAGGAAACGAGCCGCUGGCCACUUCUUCCUUGUACUCUACUAGAGCUUUAUUGAUGACUUCUCCAACAUGUGCAAACUGCUUACAGAAUUUUGGGGUAACCUGCAAAAGAUGAGGUGCUUCUUUGUUUAAAUAAAAUUCACAUAAGUGGAGAGAAAGAGCUUUAUUAAGGAGAUGCAACUGUUCAGUUCACCUUGGCAUGAUGUGGAUGUUGCAUCAUUCCAAGAAGAUCAUGGUAAACUAGCACCUGCGUGAUAUAGGGUAAAAGAAAAUAAGUGUGCCAGAAAUAACCACACCAUGUCUCGUCUCUGAAGAAAAGGAUGCAAAAACCCUGAGAAAAUUAAUUAACUUUAUGUGCAAGGUACAACUUCAAAGAAGUAAAUUAACAGAAUGCAAUCUCAUGAGUCAGCUCAAGCUUUGGUUCUAGGCUCGUUUCAAGCUUCAGCUGAGCUCAAAUUUGGUAGUUUUGAGCUAACCUAUCCAGCUACCUCAUCCCUACUAAUCUGUUACAUCAUAUGUCAACAUACACCCCCAAUGACAGUGUUCAAAAGAGAAAAAAAAAUUUAGGAUCCAAAACAAGGAUUUUUUUAUUCCCCCACCUGCAAAUGCCUAAACCUUCUGAAACAAGCAAAGUUUCAAGUUACAGAAAGAUAUAUACAUCAAAAAAAUUAAAAUGAUAUGCUAUUAAACAAACUUUCUCAAGGAUGCUAAUAUCUAUUUAACACCAAAAGGAACUACACAUGCAAGCAUUAAGGCAGACACAUAUAAUACAACCAAGAGGAACAGGACUACAUAAUUAACUAACCUGUCCACUGCAAAAAGGCCCUGCUCCAAUGCCAAUGGUAGGAAUCUGAAGAGCAGAUGUUGCAGCAGCUGCCACUGGUGGAGGUACACAUUCUAAAACAACAGAAAAGCACCCAACUUCUUGCAAAGCCAGUGCUGUCUCCACAACCUGCAGACAAAAAUCCAAUACAACAUCGUUACAACAAAUAGAAAUUUCAGCACAUGCAAACCCAUAAUAGAAAACAAAUUACCGACACACGCAUUCGUGCACACACAGACCUUGACAGCACUAGCAACAUUCCUUCCCUGAGGCCUAAAUCCCCCAAGAACACUAAUGGCCUGAGGAGUAAGUCCCACAUGCCCCAUUACAGCAAUUCCAGCUUCCACGACAGAUUUUGCUGCAGUAAUUCUAGAAGGUGACCCUCCUUCUAAUUUGAUUGCAUCCAUUCCUCCUUCCUUUAAAACCCUCACCGCAGAAUCGACAGCCUGCUCAUAAUGGAAACUGCAACAUCACCCACCCAUGGCCUACUUAUAAAAAAUAAAAAAAAAAACCAAUCAACAAAAUAGAACACACUCUCAUUUCUGAAAUUCAAUACAGCUCUGUUUCUACUUGGUUGCAAUGAAAUUUGAAAAAAUGCAAGAAAGUUCGUAGCUUCAAUAAUUUCAUCAAUUAGGUCAUAAAUUUCAUCAUUAAAAACAACAAAAAGGAAAAAAAUUAGUUAAAUUUCCUUUCUUUUACACCCUCUGUCAUGCUCAUGCACAAAAGUCAAACAAUGUUCCAAUGUCCUUUUCCUUCACAUUCUCAUAAACAAAACAGAUCUUUCUCAAAAUUAGAAAGAAAACAAAAAGCCCAUAGACAAUGAACCUCCCAAAUCAACAGAAUUACGGAGGAAUUUUCCAUUUUAUUCGCUACCUACCUGAUUGGAGCUAGACUCGUAGGAGCCAAAGGGCAAGUCCCCAACCAAAAGCGGUCGCUUGGCGCCACGAGCCACGGCUCGGCAGUGAACAAGCAUUUCAUCAAGCGUGAUAGGAAGGGUGGUGUCAUACCCAUGAACCACCAUGGCGGCCGAGUCGCCGACCAAGCAAAUGUCGAUGCCGGCGGAGUCCAGGUGGACCGCAGAAGGGUAGUCGUAGGCGGUGACCAUGGUGAUGGGCUCGCCCUUCUUGUGCUUUUGCUUCAAGUGGGUCACCGUCACUCUCUGGUCUGGGCUCUGCGUCUUUGGGCCGCCGUAGACGGUGUUUUCCGGCACGUUGCUCAUGCAACGGAGGAUCGGAGAGAAGGCUCGCGACAUCGCUUUGGCUCGUGAAACGGCGGCGUAAAAUGCCAUCUUUAAAGUUAUAGAGAGAGAUUGAAGGAGAGAAAUUGGGGUUUGUUUUGGCUGCGCCACCUAAAACUGAGCAAGUGGAAACGAAUGAGUGAGAGAAGGUUUUGUUGAACAACUUUGAAUACUUUGGGAUUUGACCGACUGAACUAGUCUUCAUUUUUGGGACAAAUGUUAACUACGCGCCAAAGUGGUGCCACCUACUGUUGCAUUGGCAAUGCCAUUGAGGAUCAAAUGGGGCCGAGCGCUGAGGGCCAAGUACACUGAACACAGAAUAAUCUGGGUCGGGACAUUUCAACCCAAUAUUCGUUCACAGCCUACCAGAAGGUUCCGAAUAAGGACGAAACCAAGCCCAAACUUUUACUUAGGUAAUAGAAACUAGGCUUAUUUAUUGUUGUGCCCUCUGAAACUAUGAUCAAAUCUCACUUUAUUCUGUGAAAGUUGGAGUGGCCAACUUUGCCCCUUAAUCAAAGUUUUGCAUUUUAAUUUAUUCCCCACCAUCAAGUUAGUCAAAAACUCUGUUAAAGUUACCGACGUUGCACAAAUGGGACCCAUAAUUUUGUUGAACUAGAUGUCAUGUAGGUGCCAUGUGUAAAAAAAAUAAAAAGAAAGAUUUUCUUUUAAAAAAACUUACCUCAACUAUUAAUAAUAAAAUACAUAUUUUUUUUUUAAAAAAAAAAAAACCAAGGAAUUAAACAAAGCAUUGUCUUCUUCACACCCCUCCACCAUCUCCAACAGAUCUCCUCCCUCACCCUUCUUACCUAGCCAACCUUUUAUUUAUAUUUAUUUUUAGUUGUCUCCCCACACCAACACAACCUCUCUCUCUCUCUCUCUCUCUCUCUCUCUCUCUCUCUCUCUAAAUCUGACGAGCCCGAAACUCCAGGUUCGUCGAGAACUCAACCGAAUCGCCAUCCCAGAUCCAUCGCGGACUCAACCAAACCACAAUACCAAAUCUAACCCCUAAAGACUAAGGCCACAUCACAGUCUUCAUCACCAAGCUUUUUGCCCCUCGCAAACCACAAACCCAUCCCUGCCACAAAUGUAUGCGUUGUUCUUGUUUUCCCUUCCUUUUAUUUUUGUUUUGGUGGUGGGUAUGGCUUGUGGUGGGUUUGGGUGGUUAUGGAUGAGUCGCCCACAUGCCACAUGCCACAUAGCCGCGUGGCUAUAUAAUUUCAUAAAAAAAUAGUUGUAUAGCCGCACAGCUGCACUAUUUAAAUAAAUUAUAUUUAAAAGGUAUAGUCGAGCGGUUAUACUAUUUAAUUUAAAAAAAAUUAAAGAAAAAAGGGACCCUCCUAAUUGCUUUCGUUUAUACUUUAUAGAUAUUAAUUUGCUAGUUUCAACAUAUCCAAAUCCGAUAUUAAUCGGCAACUAUAUAAUAUUUUAAUAUAAAAAUUUUAAUUAUUAAAAAAUAUGUGAGAAUUAUUUGUAAUUUAUAUGUUAAUUGUGUAUGUCUUAUUGAAAAUUUUGUUAAAAAUACGUGUAUUAAACAUAAGAAAUACAUAUGUACAUGUACAAUACAAGUAUUGUAUGUUUGCUUUUUUUUUUUUUUAAACGUGAAUUUUAUCAAGUCUUUAAGACAUGUGCAUAACAAGGAUGUAUUAUUGAAAAAACAUACGUACAUGUAUAAUAUAGUAUUAAACGUGAAAGUGCUAAAUUCUUUAUAUAGGUAAAAACUCUUGAAAAUUAAAAAAUUAAAAGGGGACAAUAGAGACUCAGGUAAUUACCUAAUAGUAAUAGAUAAUGCUAUACACUACUCUUAUCGAUAAACGAAAUUAGAAAAAAAAAUUUAAAAGAAAAAAAGGAUCCCAAUAUAUAUAUAGUGGCCAUACUAUUUAUUAAUUUUUUAUUUUAUAAAAAAAGUAAAGCCGCCCUACUAUACGAUUUAUUAAAAACAAAAAAAAUCUAGUACAGUCACGCGGCUAUACUAUUUAUGAAAAAACUUGAGUAGCCGCAUUGCCCAUGUGCCAAACAACGUAUAGCCGCUCGGCUAGACUAUUUAUUUUAAAAAUAUAUAUAUAAAGUAGUCUAGCGGUUAGGCCCCAGGGGUAAUCUAAAAACCGAGUAUAGCCAGGCGGCUAUACAAGAAAAAGCGUUGUACGAUUCAUAUACAUUAUAUUUAAAAGGUAUAGUCGAGCGGCUAUACUAUUUAUUAUUAUUAUUUUUUAAAAAGGACUCGUCUGGCGAUUAGGUUCCGCGUGUCGAAAUAAAUAUAGCUGCUCGAUUUUUUGAGAAAAUUACGAGAUAAGUAUAGCCGUUCGGCUAUAUGAAUUUUUGAAAAAAUUACAAAAUAAGUAUAGCCGACCGGCUAUACGAUUUUCCUCUUAAUAAUUCUUGACUUGCUCCUGAUCUGCUUAGGAUGAAGAUUAGUAGGAGGAAUAGGUGGGUCUAUUUGCAAAUCCAGGGUUUGUAAAGAAGGCAAGGUACUGGGAAGAAUAUGCUGAUGAAUCAUUGGUUAAGGUUGUUGAAGAAGUAGCCAUAGAGAAGGAAUUAUUGAGUGCGGCAGUAGCAGACAAUUCAGUGGGAUCAAAAUCAACCAAUGGACUGGAAGAAUAUACAACAGCUAUGGAAGAAACCAAUGAAGAACACAUGGCGAGCAUAGAUGCUUAGACUUGCAUGAGGGAAACACGGUUUCAUCAAACAAAACAUGUCUAGAAAAAAUCAAUUUUCUGGUGAUUGAAUCAAAGCAAAUGUAGCCCUGGUAUUGAGAAGCAAAUCCAAGUAAAAUACAUUGUGUUGUUUUUACAAGGUGUCGAUUCUUUCUUUCGGCCCAGCCAUUUUGUUCAGGUGUAUGAGGGCAAGAUUUAUGAUGAAUAAUACCUUUGGAUGACAAGAAUUGCUGUAAAGAUGCAGAGAUAUAUUCCCCUUCCCAUCACUUUUGCAAAACCUUAAUGGAAGCACCGAACUGACUCAAAACAAUAGCAUAAAAGUGCACAAAAGUGGAACAAACUUCUGAUUUAUUUCGUAGAGGAAAUAUCCAUGUGUAACGAGUACAUUCAUCAAUGAAGGUGAUGUAAUAUCUAAAUCCUUCAAGAGAAAUGCAAGGAGCUGGUCCCCAAAGAUCACUAUGAACAAUCUCAAAUGCUGUUGCUGACUUUGAAGACACCAAAGAAAAAGGAAGCUUACUAAAUUUGCCUUUUAAACAGGACUGACAAACAACAGAAUCAAGUAGAACUAGUUGAGGAUAAACCAGACUUCUCCAAGGCAAGUUGAACCAUGGAAUUGGUGUAGCGCCCCAAGCGACAGCGCCACAAAGCGGAAGUUACUUUUUGUCCAAGAAAUGCAGUAGCUGAAGAAACAGAGGAAGAUGAGGAAGGAGAAAGAGAGAAUGGCAGUGGAUACAAGCCAUUGUUGCUCAGGCCUCAGAAAAAUACCAUCCCUGUGAUUUUGUCAUGUAUACAUAAAGAUAGAAGCCCCAAUGUGAGAAAUUACAAGUUCACCAUUGGCUGGAUUGGCUUGCAUAGUAUAAUUCUUUUAUCACUUGCGUUUACAUUACGUAAUCGAAUCGGCUUCCGAAUCCGAAACGACAUCAACCUUCCAAUCAAUCGAAAUUCUCCCCACCGAAAAGUCUACACAUCCAACCGCUGAAGACCAUUCAAACCCAAAAUCACAAACAGAUCGCGCCACGUGUUAAUACUCAGAAGCCCAUCCCCUCACACUCUCUCUCCGGAAAUGCCGGCACUUCACGCGCCACCUUCAUUGAUAAGGUCACUCCUCUACGUUCCCUCUCCCUCCCUCUCUCUCAGUCUUCGCACACUUCCACUAUUCCUCGUCACCAAGCUUCACUGCUUCAACUGCAGCCAGAGGUCAGUCCGUACAGUCACAGCCAUGUCCUUGCCUAAUGCCACCUCCGGCGAAUCGUCGCCGGACCACGUUGCCGGGAAGUGGUUUUCGGUGCCGGAGCUCCGACUUCGUGACCAUCGAUUCACUGUGCCUCUCGACCACUCCGUCGGUCUUAAGGCUUCGUCUAAGAUCUCAAUCUUCGCUCGCGAAGUUGUUUCAGGUAACUAAAUUAUGCAAUAUAGUGUGUAUCAGUUAAAGUGAUUAAUUUGUUCUUGGAUUUAAGCGGCUCAGUGUUUUGAUUUUCCUGUUAUUAUCUGUUAAUUACUGUUUGAUUGGUCUUGGAAGUGAAUUAUGCAAUAUAAUGUGUAUCAGUUGAAGUGAUUAAUUUGUUCUUGGAUUUAAGCGGCUCAGUGUUUUGAUUUUCAUUGAAGUGUGUUGACCUUUUUGUGCUUUGCCUCUGUACGGUUGCUUAGAAAAUGGUGGAAAGGGAAAGAAUGAGGCAUUGUCUACUGUUUUCAGCUGAGAGAAAGACAUCGAUUAGUGGUUUGAAUUGGUAGAGUUGUUUGAAUCCUCUCAACUAACUCUGAUGAUAGUUUUAUGUUGUUGUGGUCCUCAGUAUUGAAAAGAUCAAAGAUUAAUCUGCUACAUUUGCUUUUCCCACUAACUACAAUAAAUAAUUUUUGAAGGAGGCUUGAGUGAGAUAUCUGCCUGUGAAUGUUCAUAUGAUCGAAUGUCAAGUGUUCUAUGAAUUUCAACUGACUUAGGUGCAUACAUAAGACUUAUAUCCAUUCCAGGAUAGUUCAUAAGAUAAGAGAAGUUACAGCAGAAGUUGCUUACCUAUGCCACCAGACGGAGACAUACUUAAAACAAACGCGCAAGCAUGUGCAUAUACCUGUAAAUUGGGGCUUCAUAAAAUACUGUACUUAAAAAGAGUAUCUGCUUUAGUCAUGAAAUCUCAUUGCUAGUUACGAGUAGAUAAAAAUGUAACUGGCAAGCAAGCUGUUUCCCUAUUUUUUCAAUAUCUGGAUUGCUCAUAUCCUUCUCAGACAAUUUCCUUUUUUAUACAUGUUUGUGGUUCUGUUAGUCCCUUAAUAAAGUAUGAUUUGUAUUGCAGUUGGUAAAGAAGAACAACCACUGCCAUACCUAUUAUAUCUACAAGGUGGACCUGGAUUUGAGGCCCCUCGACCAACCGAACCCAGUGGAUGGAUACGUAAAGCAUGUGAAGAAUUUCGUGUUAUAUUGAUGGAUCAGGCAUGGUUAUAUAGGCAUAUAUUCUUACAAGCUUUUGUGAAUAUGUACUUUCUUAUUUGUUAUUCUCCUGCUUAUCGACUUUUACUUGCAGCGAGGAACAGGUUUAUCAACUCCUUUGACAGCUUCAUCUAUGUCGCAACUGAAGUCUGAAGUGGAUCUGGCUGAUUACUUAAAACAUUUCCGAGCUGAUAAUAUAGUAAAUGAUGCAGAGUUUAUUCGAGUACGUCUUGUGCCUGAUGCUGGGCCUUGGACAAUUUUGGGUCAGGUAUUAAUUGCUAUUUGCUUUUUGUAUUUAUGUGUACAAUGUAAUGUUUCGACUGUAGUGUGAUGAUCCUGCCUGUAGUUUCUUUAUUUUACUAAGAAAUACCUACUAUGUUAUCAGAGGACAUUGUUAAGAUCGAGAGCUCCUUCAUAGUGCCAACUUCAUUCUCCCUAUGUCUGAAGUUGUUGUGUGUUGCGUUUUUUGUAUCAUAAGAAUGUCUCUGUGUUAAGUCAUUUCUUAUGUUUUGCUUGUGGUGCACUAUUGCCUGUGCAACUGAACUAAAAUUGCAGCUUGUUCUUUUCCCUUGUGCAGAGCUUUGGUGGUUUUUGUGCAGUAACGUAUUUGAGUUUUGCACCACAAGGACUAAAACAAGUCCUUUUAACUGGAGGAAUCCCUCCUAUAGGAAAUGGAUGCACUGCAGAUGCUGUGUAUAAAGCGUGCUUUGAACAGAUUAUACAUCAGAAUGAGAAGUACUACCAAAGGUAUCCUCAAGAUAUUGAGGUUGUUCGUGAAGUUGUUAACUAUUUGUCAAAAUCCGAGGGAGGAGGGGUGAGGGUCUAGAACAUAUUCUCUUGGUGCUUUUCAUAACUCUGAGAUUUAAGUUUACUCUUUAAAAUCAAUCCCACCUACCCUUGUUUUUGUACAGGUCCAGCUUCCAUCUGGAGGCUUCCUAACCCCAAAAGGAUUGCAGAUUCUUGGUCUUACUGGCUUGGGAUCCAGUGCUGGUUUUGAGCGCUUACACUACAUGUAAGGCUUCAUGAAUGUGAACCUAGAUUUCAAUAUGCUACAAUUUACUCAUGCUUCAACUGAGUUAUAUUUUCACUUCGACCCAUAGGUUUGAGAGGGCCUGGGAUCCUAUAAUAGUUCCAGGAGCAUCAAAGGAAAUCAGUUAUUACUUCUUGGAUGCUGUAAGAAAAUAACUGCUUUUUAUUGAUGUUGAAUCCAAGGCUUUGAACAUACCUGGUAUAAAGUUAUAAACCUUAAACCAUUCCAUGUUUGCAGUUUGACAAGUGGUCAUCUUUUGACACAAAUCCACUUUAUGCUCUUCUUCAUGAACCCAUAUACUGUCAGGUAAUUGCUUUAGUCUCUUUCAUCUGCAGAAGUAUAUGUUCUUUUUUUUCUUUUUUCUUUUUUCUUUUCAUUUGGUUAUUAGUUUGUCUAGUUGUUUAUUUGUUUACUUAUUGAAGGGUGGUUCAUCACGGUGGGCUGCUCAAAGAAUAAGGGCGGAAAAUGAGGGCAAAUUUGAUGCAGUCCGGGCUGCAAAAGAAGGUCGUCCCAUAUUUUUCACAGGAGAGGUAGGCAUAGGUUCCUUCCUCUUUUCAAUGCCAAAAAUCCGUAAUGUUCACAUCCAAUUAUAUGAAUUUAUCAGACAGAUAAUUGAUGAUUUAUUUAUAUGUUACAUAAAGUAUAUAUCUCAUGGAUAAAAUAAUCGUCAGCAUGUGACGUAUAUAAUAUUUUGGGGAGUCAUGAACUCAAGUGUAUAUACCCUGAUGGAGAGGAUAUCUAGCCGUGCAUACAAUUUAUGAUUUAUUUGCAUGAUGGUAUAAAAGCUCAUGCAGCUAUAGACACUUGGAUCAAUCUUAGGGGUCGAAUGAGGUGUAUUGGGUAAGCAGAGUAGUCCCACAGCUAUGUGUCAUACAGAGCAAAAUUGGAGUUGGCCCCUAGUAUGUUGUUGCUUGCAGCUUUGACUACUACCUCACAAACACAACUGGGUUUUUUGCUGCUGCAGAUGAUCUUUCCAUGGAUGUUUGAUGAGAUUCAUGCCUUAAGGAAAUUCAAAGGUGCUGCUCAUAUAUUGGCUGAGAAGAAGGAUUGGCCUCCACUAUAUGACAUCACUGCACUAAAUAAUAACAAGGUGUGCUGCCUUUAUAUGAAGUUAAUCAUCUUGAGUAUCAACUGGCCAUAAAAUUUGCACAAGGAGAUCUAAACCUUGCAGCCUAUGAUGUUUUCCAUUUUGACCGUACACAUAUGUGAAUUAUCAGCAGUUUCGUCCGUUAAUGUCUGAAUUUACUUCUGUCAACAUUGACAGGUACCUGUUGCAGCUGCUGUUUACUAUGAAGACAUGUUUGUAAACUUCAAGCUGGUCAUGGAAACAGCAUCUCAGAUAGCCGGGAUUCGGUUGUGGAUAACUAACGAAUUCAUGCAUUCUGGUCUGCGCGAUGCAGGGAGCCAGGUUUUUGAUCAUUUGAUGGGAAUGUUAGACGGAAAGAAGCCUUUGUUCUAAUUACCUUUCCAGUUCCUGCACUAGAUCUGUAUUGUCUUGAUUUAAUUUACCUUCAUGUUCUUGAUAAUUCAGAUUGGGGGCUUACAAAGUCUCUGCGGCAAUUUCUCCAUGUCUUGGAGAUCAAAUUGAGGCUUGUAUAUUGGUUUAGAAACUUUCUUUACCAUAAUAUUUGAUUUUUACCAUAGAACUAUAGUCAGUAUCAGUAUCAUGUACUAAUGUUAAGAUAUAGAACUAUAUAUAAUGAUAUAAAACUAUGAACUAUUAUCAUAGAAUAUCAAAUUAAACAUUGAGUUAGCAAAAUUGUAUAUAUCAAUAUAGUUAAUGUGCAUUUGGAGUAAUUUUUUGGUGUGAUGGCAUUAACACUGAUUCUCCCUUCGGACAUAUAUGCACGGGCCUUGUAGCUCAAGUAGUUAAGAACAGUUAUCCAUAUACUCGAUGUCCAAUUUCUGAUAUUAUUUGUAUAUAUAUAAAACUAUUACUUUAGAUAUUGAUAAAUAAAUAAAAAAUUUAAAAACUAUUUGCUUUAGAAAAAAUAAAAAUAGAAAGAUGAAACAAGAGGGCCCUGCUGACCGAGUCACUCACAAAAUGCUUGGUAUAUACAAGAAUGGUGUUAGCAACAACGCAUGAGAUGCUAUUGGUCCAGGCAUUUUCUCUUGGUUCUCUUUUGGUUGGUAAACUAAACAGUAUAUAUCUCUAGUCAUACUAAAACCAAAAUUUUGUAGCAAUUUGAACACGUGACGUAUGUAUAUUUCCCAAUAUUACAGAAAUACCUCAUCCCAUGAAUCUUGUGGGUGAAGAGAAGAGAGAGAGAGAGAGAGAGAGAGAGAGAGAGAGAGAGCCAUGCAAACGCAUGCAUUGAUGAUAACGAUAUGUACAUUGAGGCACGUCACCUUUUCUCACUUGAAAUUGCAGGUGAACAGAAGUAGUUGAGAUGUAGUUGGCCCUCGCCUUUACCCUAGGAUAAAAGAUAUGGAAGAGUACCAAAAACAGAAAAAAAGGGCCUCCCAAUUUCAACCCUAAACAACAAUUAAUCUCUCUCUCUCUCUCUCUCUCUCUCCUUUUGGUUUCUUGUGUGUCUGCACGGACCAACUUCUUCUCACCUUCCACCACCUUAACUCUUUGAAAGCUUUAUAUACUUCUCCUAUCAAACAUUAAUUCUCUCUUCCUUUCUCUUCAUUCUCUAAUUAAUUAACACCUCAGAUUAAUUAUGGAAGGUCAUCAAGAGCCUAAUUACCCACCCCCAUUAACCCCAUCAUCCUUAAUCUCAUUGCCAUUCUUGUUGCCACCCCAAAACCCUCUCUUCACACCCUCAUCAGCAUCAACAGCCCCAUCCUCCUCCUCACAGCUGAUCAGCCCUCCUCUUCUAGAACCUCAGCAGCAUCAAGUCCUCCCAGACAUUGAUUGGGUCAGCCUUCUCUCUGGUUCUCCUGCAGCUGUGUUUGAUGGGCAGGAGAUUAAUAAUUAUAAGCCACUGGUAGAAAAUAAUAAUGUUGGUGCCUCUGCUGAGAAUAUUAAUGAAGCUGAUCGGGAAGGAAAGGGUGCAAAUAGUAAAAGGAAAGGUGGGGGUAGGAUGAGAAAACCAGCGAGCCGGCCUAGAUUUGCUUUUCAGACCCGGAGUGCCGAUGAUAUUCUUGAUGAUGGUUAUCGCUGGAGAAAGUACGGACAGAAGGCCGUCAAGAACAACUUAUAUCCCAGGUUUGUUAAUUCACUUUCUAACACUAUUAUAUAUAUAUAUAUAUAUAUAUAUAUAUAUAUUUGUUACAAUUUAGCACAUCACCGAACAAAAGGAAGAGGAAAAAAAAAUUUUAAAAAAAGAUAGAGAGACACCAAAAUGUGAUGCUGUAAAACAAAAUCAUAAAGCAAACGUUAAUUAGCUAGCUACUGACAUCAAAUUUGAGAUAGAAACAAAACAUUUAUAUAUUCAUAUAAUUUUUUUAUUUAUAUACAAGCCAUUUUAAGGGAGAAUCGAAACUAGGACUUCGGGUGCAAGGUAAAUGUUAUUAACCACCUGAGCUAUAAGCCCCUUGCUUAUACAUUCAUAUUUUCAGGAGAUAUUUAGUGAUAUACCCAUUUCUAGCACUAAUAUUAUAAAUAAACUCUACACAAUUGAAUUUCUAUAAACAAACCCAAAAAAAACCCAAAAGAUGAUAGCUGGCCUUAUUGAAUUUAAUAUUGAUUAUUAAAUUACUUUGAUGCCCUAUUGAGUGUUUUGGGUAUUUUUAUGAGAUUUUGGGGUUGGGCUUGUUUUAAGAAAUUGAUGGUAGUUUUGUAAUUUAUAAGAAGUUAAAAGCUUUUUUGUUAUGUUGUAAAUAGGCUUUGGGUGUGUUUCUAAAGUCUAUUUCAUAUAGGGUAUUUUUAUAAUUUGGGCCCCCAUAUUGGGUAUAAUAGUGAAUUUCCCUAUUUUCAGUUGCUCACUAAUUUGUUAUUUCCUCAGCCAGCUAAUUUAUACAUUUCUCCAUUCAUAUUUUUAGUUGCUCAACGAAGCAGUUCUACUUUUUCCUUAGCCAACAAGGAAACUAAAUACAUAAAUACUGAGACUCGGAUAUUUAGUCCUAGAAAUUUUGAUCCAAAACUUCAAAAAAUAAAAAUUCGGAUAUAUUUGGUCCUAAUAUUAAUUAUAUAUAUACAUUUACAAGUUUGCUAUAUGAUCUAUCUAUCUCCAGCUUAAUUAGUAUUAGGGCAUUGGGUUCAAAAAAUUCUAUGCUUUUCUCACUUUCAAACUUUCAAACAUGGUCAUAUAUGUAGGAGCUAUUAUCGGUGCACACAUCACACAUGCAAUGUGAAAAAGCAGGUCCAGAGGCUAUCUAAGGACACGAGCAUUGUGGUGACAACAUAUGAAGGAACUCACAAUCAUCCCUGUGAGAAGUUGAUGGAAACCCUAACCCCUCUUCUUAAGCAAAUGCAGUUCCUCUCUAGGUUCUGAUUCAAAAUUAAUUAGCUCGCUAGUACCAAAGGUUUAAUUGCUAUAUGAACAUACAGAAUGCACAGUGCAUGAUCUUCUAUCGGAAAUUAAUUUGUACUUAUAUAUGUAUUAACCUUAUUAACUGUGGACUAUCUGAGAAGGAAAAAGAAAAGAAAUGUAAAGGUCAAUAUACCGAAAUCAAUAUGUCAAUUAAGCUCUUGUAUGUUAUUUGGUACCACUAAUAAACUCCUCAUUUGAUUCUUGUAUUCUAAAUGACAUGCUAAUUUAUCAUCUGCCCACAGCCCAAAACGAAGUGGGCCAGUCUAGGCUUACCUGUGAAUUUUGGUUCAUCCUGAAGAAUUAACUUAUGGAGUCAUUUUAUAUAGUGAGAGUUUUAUCUAAGGCGCUUAUAUAUGAGGUCAUAUUUCUUAACUAUUGAAUUAGAUUAACUAAUUUGAUCCAAUAGUUAAAAUAAUGUAGUUGGAAAAGAAAGAAGAAGGAAAAUAAGUUCAAGAACACACAAUGUUUCUAUAUGUAUUUAUGCAUAAUACUGAUAUAUAUGUAGAAGUACACAAACAUCGCAGACGACUACAGUUGUCUCUGAUUCAAAAUUUAAUUUAGACAUGGCUCUUGAUGGAAGAGCUAUAGUUAGUUUGAUCAUCAUAAUACUUGGACCACAGCAUGACCCCUCCAUACUUGGGAGAACCUUUAAUUGCUGGAAGCACUUUAGAAGUGAGAUCAGCCACAGGAAUGAAGCCACUUCCAGCAGCUGCAGGGGCAGCUGGUAGUCCUAGGAAUAUCUUGGUAGCUGGAGUAUCUGAAAUCCAUUGCUUCCAUGCAUUUUCAAGGUUGCUAAGAUCCCCAGAGGAGUAUUGGCAAGGUGGGUUGUUGUAGAAUUGGACCCAAACAUUGUCAAAAAGGCCUGUCUUGAGGGCAUCCCCAACCCAAGCAUCUGGGAAAGGGCACUGGGGAGCUGCAGUUAAAUAAACUUUCUUGCCUUGUUUACUAUAUGCAGAGAGGUAUCUUGCAAGGUCAUCCCAAUGUAGGUUUGUUCCUCCUUCGAUGUCGAAAUCAAUUCCAUCCAAAACAGCGUCACCGAGUGGGCGAGAUGUAGAACUACUUCCCCCCAAGAAAUUGUUCCAUAAGUAAGUAGCAACUUGCCUAGCAUCCUCUUUAGAAGUGAGGUAGUAGCUCCCUGCUCCUCCUCCAAUUGAAAGAAUGACCUUGACCCCUUUUGCUUGGCAUGAUUUAAUGUCAGAGCUCAAGCCAGUGCAGCCAUUAGUGUAGGGAUCACAGUGUCCAGCUAGGUUGAUCAUGGGGGUCUGGCCAUUGCCAAAGGUUGGAAGAAAAGCUAAGUUCACAAACUCAUAGUUGCCUGUGGCGCAAGUUUCCUCCAAGGUACCCUCGUUCCCAUUUUGACCCCAGUAGAUGGCAAUGCCUGCAGCAUCAGCUCCAAAUUGUAGUGCUAGGCUUAAAGAAAUGAGAAAUGCCAGUGAAAUUGCUAAAUUUGGUGCCAUUCUGCACUUGAUUUUGCUUAGCUAGUAGCUGUAGUAUUUUUUCUUGUUACUGCUUCCGUGUAUUAGUGUUUAGAAAAACAUGUACUUUUAUAGGAGAAAAUGAACCCCAUUCUGAUGGCAACAUCCUGUGUUUUUGUGGAAGAAGUGCGUGCCUGAGAAGUCACUUCAUUUCCCACCUGAUUUCCUUUGUAUCAUAUUACCAAUUGUUGUGGAUUAACGCACACGUUAGACCACAUAAAACUCCUCGCACAUUUGAGGCAUCCUACAUGUAGCAUUUGUGGGUGUGUAUGUCCUAUUUAUCACGAGUAAUAUUCGUUUGUCAGAUUUGUUUUGCCAAACAAAUACUUAUGUUGCUAGAUUGUGAAUCUAAACCACAUAUUCUGACAAGAAUUAACAUGAUCAAUUAUCCAAAUUCAUAGUCUAACUAAAUACUUAUGUUGCCAGAUUGUGAAUCUGAACCACACAUUCUGACAAGAAUUAACAUGAUCAAUUAUCCAAAUUCACAAUCUAACUAAAUACUUAUGUUGCCAGAUUGUGAAUCUGAACCACACAUUCUAACAAGUAUUAACACGAUCAAUGAUCCAAAUUCACAAUCUGACUAGGUUGGCGAACAUUCUUACAAGAGAUCAUUUCUCAUUUUUUGUUCUCUUCUAUAUGUCUCAUUGUGAAUGGUGUAAGAGAGCAUUUCCAAUUUUUCGUUCUCUUCUAUAUGUCUCUUUGUGAAUGGUGUAAGUAUGUUGGGGAUUAAACGCAGACGGGUACUUUGAAAACUAAAACGGAUUUCCAGAUCCUCAAAUGUUGCCUUCCCUUCCCAUACCUGUGACUCUAUAGUUUAGUCUUUGGUAAUGUUUUUCCUAUUUUAUGUCAUUGGUGUUGUUUUUUUUCCUUUAUUUUUUUGGUGAUAAUUUGGUGAGCUGGUUGAUAAAAUGAAGCAAGUAAAUUUUAAUUAAAAGUUGAAAAUAGUGAAGAUUGGUUAGCUAGCAAAGAAAACGAAAUACCACUUUCACAAACGUGGAGAUUAUAUGAUAACUAAUUUUCUCUUGAAUACGGAAUAAAACACACGAUAGUAUGUCCAAAUAGAAAAUCUUUAUAUUAAGUCAAAUGCGGCCUUACCAUGCAUGUAUGCUCCAAUCCACCAAACAAACCAAAUAGAAGAAACUCUCAUCCUCUACGAUUCUUCUUAAGGGAUUCGAAUAUUCUUAAACAUAUGUCAAGGAUGCUUUGAUUGGAUGGUUCCUAUUUUUUUUUUUUUUUAAAGGAUGUGUUGCAAGCAUGGGCUUAGCCAAGUUGCUUAGAGCGAAUGUGCUCCCACUCUGCACUCGAGUUCGAAUUCCCCUCUCCGUAGUUUAGAUUAGUUUAUAGUAUAUUAGUACUUGUAUAAAAAAUAAAUAAAAAAGAGGAUGUGUUCCUAUAUGUUUACAAGAAAUUUUGCCAAAUAAAAAUGUAAGAUAGAAAAGAGGGAGAUCUGGUUGGUGGAGCUUACCAUGCAAUUAAGGGUGCAUUUGACCUAAUACAUAGCCAUGAUCCAAUCUUAACCCUCAAUCAAGUGCGGAAUAUAUAAUCCCAACACGUAUAUAUAUGAUAAUUUUCUUCACGUCAAUCUCAUUACAUUUGUCACAAUCCCACAAAUCAAGUGUUGCAGCUCCUCUAUAUAUAACCCAAAUGAAAUUUUCGAUCUGAAUACAAGGCUGCAAGUAGGCUUAAAUCAAUCUCUUGGUUUGUUCAUCUUUAGUUUUCUUUGGUUUGUUCUUUCUUUUUGUUGGUUCAUACGUCUUUGAAAAUGGCGGGGUUGGUGGACAAGGCCAAGAACUUUGUGGCAGAUAAGAUAGCAAAUGUGCCAAAGCCAGAUGCAAGUCUCACAGACGUUGAUUUCAAGAAGGUGAGUUUUGACUCUGCGGAUUACAUCGCCAAGGUGUCUGUCAACAAUCCCUAUUCACAUCCUCUCCCCGUCUGUGAGGUCAAAUACACCCUCAAAAGCGCUGGCAGGUUUCAAUUCAACUCUUGUUUUUACAUCUUUUUUCUUUUGUCACUCGUGAUCUAUUUGUGGCCAUUUUAAUCCUGCUGUUGGUUUUGAAGAACCUAUAAUUUUUGUGACCAUGCUCGUUCAAUGAAUAAAAAAAUGCCACGGUCCGGCUACAGAUGAAACCAUUUAAAAGUGUUUCGUUUUUUGAAAUCAAGGAAUGAGAUAAAAAUCAAAUUUUCAUUUUGAAAUCAACAAAUGAUGAGAUCAAAAUCGAAACCCUUUUGAGAUGUUUGAAUGAGCUUCGAUAUAACAAUCGCUUGAUAUUGAUCAUUUUUCUGAUUUGUAUGUAUAUAUACAUGUGAAUUAGGGUCAUUGCAUCUGGGAACAUGCCAGAUCCUGGCUCAAUAAAGUCAAGUGGCACUACUAUGUUGGAGGUGCCUGUGAAGGUGCCACAUAGCAUAAUUGUGACAUUGGUAAGGGACGUUGCUAAGGAUUGGGACAUUGACUAUGAGUUGGAUUUGGGUCUCAUCAUUGACCUCCCUCUAGUUGGGAACCUUACCAUACCUCUAUCUAGGAAGGGCGAAAUCAAGCUUCCCACCUUAUCUGAAGCUAUUUGGGGUUCAAAGGAUGAAGCUUCAAAAGAGACUAAAAAGGAGAUUCCAAAAGAGGCAACAAAGUAGAGGUAAAAUCUAAAGAAGGGGAAAGGGAAAGUCGAAUUAUUUCUCUGUCAUAAAAUGUAAGAGUAAGUAGUUUAUUUUAAAAAUUAGAAAAGUGAAAGUCGAAUUCUUAUCGUGAAUGUACGAACAAUUUGGUUAUGUUAUACUGUUUGUGAUGUUGCACAGUGUUUUCCCUCCUAAUGGGAUUGAAACGAACUUUAUCUUUUAUGAAAGAUUAAAAGGAAUUUUUAUUCAUCUUGUAUCCCAUAAGAAAUGGUAUAUGAUUUUACCAUGUGGAGAAGCAUUAUGUCAAUUGAUUUUUUCGCUGCUUUGAAUUAGAAUUGGGAAGACUGUACUUAGUAGCAAUGUAUUAUUCAAGUGGGAUCGGGGUGGGUUUUUUUUUAUUUUUAUAAAUACCCUUUAUAAGAGUGGGAUUCGAACUUUAUACCUAUUUUAAUAUUGAGAAUAAUUUAGAAUUUUUUAUAGUUGACUAAUUAUACUUCAUUAUUAUUUAUUUCAGCACAUUCCUUUUUUACUUUUCUAACAAUUAAAACUUAUCUAAAUUGAUCAACUGUACGAGUUUUGACAAUGAAAAAACAGUUGUAGUUUGAGUUGAAAUUUAAUUUCCUUUGUUCAUACUUUAGUAUAUUGGAUUGGGAGUAAAUGGUUUUCAUGCAACAGUGGAGCCAUUCUAUAACUGUUAGAUCAAACUAAUUAAUUUAAUCCAACGAUUAAUUAAUUUGAUUAAAUAGUUAAAAGAUAGAGCCUCAUAUGAAGGCUUAGAUAAAGCUCCCACUAUAGAAUUCUAUUACGCUAGUAUAUUUUGGGCUUUAGACAUUUAAAUCAAAUCAAGAUAUAGGCCUAGGUCAAGCCCACAUCAAAGUCCAAUCCCAUUUACUAAUAUUGGAGAUGCUCUAUUAUUUUGGUGCUAAUCAUAUUCAAUAUCAAUACCUACAAACAAUAAGAGAAAAAUACUCCCUUCCUCCCAUAAUCUGCAUUACAUAUGAGACCCGUCUUAAAUUUUUACAUUAUCCCUAAUUGUGUUUUCCUAUUGGCAAGCAAAAGAAAUAGUGUGUAGAAGUUAAAUUCGACUCUUAUCAUAAGAAAAAAUAAUAUGUAAAUUAAUUGGCUGAAAAUCUUGUUCUAAUACGGAUUUAGCCAAUGGGGUUACUGUUUUACCAAAAUUAUACACUCAUUACAAUCAUGAAAAGAAAAUCUAGCCACCACAUGCGCCAUGUGCAGUGCAGCACAUCUGAGGUUACUACUAGUUACUUUGUUACAGUUCCAUGAUCAUUUGGUUUCUUGAGCAUCACACUUGAGUAUGAUUCUUCGAAAACCAACUUUUGUAGCUGUCCUUAUGAUACUUUAGUCUCAGCGAAUAGUUUCCACUGAAUUUUACAUACACACAACAAAAAUGUUUUCUCCGUCUCUAAUCACUAUUUUUAGAAUUGUAAAUUAACUGGAUACCGUUCGAGUUUGAAUCGAAAUUCGCUCGUAUGAGCUGUGUUCACUUAAGAAACAAGUCGAGCAUAAUGAGCUUCAGUACGUUGAGUUCAUAAAGCUUGUGAGCAGCUUUAGUUCAAAGCAUUCAGUAUGUUUUCUUCUUUUUGAAGUUUAUAUCGGUUAUGUAUUGUUUUUAAACUGUUACAUGUGUCCUUUAGUUUUAAAGUUAAUUGUGAUAAUACUUUUUUUUUUAGAAUAAUCGAAAGUUUUUAUUGAUAAACAAAAAAAAGUACAAAGUAAAUAUGGUAAAUUUUCUUCAAUGAUCAAAUGUAACAAUAUGUUGAAUUGAUUUAGAGAAAAUCAUGUAUAAUUUAAAAAUGACUAAAAUUCCCGAUUCAGCAACUAGAAGCACAUAUACUCACACAUGCAAUAUAGAUCUACCAUGUAAUGACAGAAACGACAAAUCAAUAUCGAAAGGUAAAACUAAAUAGAAAUAUCAAUGUCUUCGUUAGCUAGAAUUACCCUAAUCAGACAUCUAUCUAUACUUUUUUUAAGUUGAAUAAUUUGAAUAUUCUCUGCACUAACUCAUACCAUAAUAGCGUGUGAGGGUUUCUAGUGUAUAUCUGAUAAUAUUCAAAUGGAAAAUGCUAGGGAGACCAACUUUAAAUACCAACUUGUGUACCAACUCUCUAAUAGAGUGUGGGACCCAUUGUAUUGGUGGGCUCCACCUCUAUUAGAGAGUUGGUACACAAGUUGGUAUCUAAAGUUGGUCUCCCUAGCAUGACCCUAUUCAAAUUAUUCAACUAGGCCCCUUGUGACUCGUCCACUGCGACGAAUAAAGGCACCCAAUUUGGCGAUGAGAAUUGGACCCACCAUCCAGUCAAAUAAAUAGAACUACACUGUCUCCACCGUUGAGAUUGUCCGAACUUUUAAAGAAGACCCAUCUCAUCAUCUUAUCUCAACCCUUACUUUUAGUACAAAUUUCAUGUCAAGCAUCAUCCAUCCAUCACAGAUAUCUAAACACGGACGAACACACGAGCGGACACGUAAGAUUGUCACUAGUCCUCCUGCCGACCUCCUCCCUGCCACGUGUCGCAAACCAACCUCGUCUAAUAUUUUACUCAAUAAUCCACUGGAGAUUCACCUUCUAUAAAUAUCUCCACAAAUAUCAGUCUCAAAAGCAAGCCUUGCAAGCCCGAAACCUAAUCUAGUGUGUUGAUCUCUUCGUUCGUAUUAAUAUUUUGUUUUGCUGUUAGUUUGUUGUCGGAGUGUGCUGCGAUUGAAAAUGUCUGAGUUGUUGGAGAAAGCCAAGAACUUUGCGGCAGAGAAAGUGGGUCAUGCAAAGAAGCCAGAGGCAGAAGUCACAGAUGUUGAUUACAAGACGCUGAGCUUAGGAUCUGUUGAGUACCUUGCUAAAAUCUCUGUGACCAAUCCCUAUGGAGUUGACCUCCCCAUCUGUGAUAUCACUUACACCCUCAAGAGUGUUGGCAGGUUCCAAUUCUCACUUUUUAUUUUAACACUUUUGAGUUCAAUUUUUAUUUGUUUAUUUUUGUUAUAGAUACUCUUUUGAUCCAUGUGUUUUACUUGAAUUUUCUAAUUUGGUUUUUGUGUUUUCAAUUUCAUCAAUCUUGUCAUACGUUUUCAUUCUCAUAACGUGUACAUUUGGUGUUAGUUUUACUUUGUCGAAAGAGAUUUCGAGUUCGAACCAAUACACAAUAUUUGGAUAAAAAAACAAAAAAGAUUAGUUCUAUGCCAUGCUCAUGGAUAUAAAGUGACUUGAUUUGUAUGUGUACGUGUGAAUUUGUAGGGAGAUUACAUCUGGAACUGUUCCAGAUCCUGGUUCAAUAGAAGGAAAGGACAUUACUGUGCUUGAGGUACUAUUAAAGGUGCCACAUAACAUAUUGUUGACCUUGGCAAAAGAUAUUGGAGCAGAUUGGGACAUUGAUUAUGAGCUGGAUAUAGGCCUCACCAUUGACCUUCCUGUCUUUGGCAACUUCACCAUACCACUUAACAAGAAGGGAGCGAUCAAGCUUCCCAGCGUCUUCUGAUCCAUAUGACCUUUGGGAUUCUAUGGGUUUGGUUAUGUUCUGUAACUUUUCUUUUGUUGUUAAUUUAAGUACAUUAAGAUAUGGACUCUGUCUUUGCUCAGCACAGAGUGUUUUAAGUUUUUUUGGUUUUUUGUUUUCAGUUGGUUGUUAUCUUCCACCUCUAUCUAUAUGGGCAGAGGUUCGAAGUUGAGUAUUUGUGUUAAUCUUCCUUCCUCAAUAUUUUAUAAUAAAAAAAAUAUUUAAGUUUUUUAAAAAUAUUUUAUAUACCAGUGAUAUUGGAAGGGCUCUUAAUAAUUUAAUUAAAAAUAUAAUAAAAAUCCUAAUAAGUUUGAACAAAGCCAAAGUUGGGGAAUUACAAAGCAGGAACAAUAGCAAUGAGGGGAAGGGGGUGAUUAGGAGUAUAAGCCUUAUCAAAGUACUAUAUGCGUACUUUGAUAUUUAAAGUUAAUGUCGAUUAUACUUUUUUAAUGCUGAUAAUAGCUUCCUAAAUAUCAGUGUCUUCAUUAGCUAGAGUGGCCCUAAUCAGACAUUGUUAUAAAUCUAGAGAAAUUGGAGAGAAUUGAGAUAGAGAGAAACUGAUCUCUUAUUGAAUAUUUGUUCUUCACAUAUCUGUCUUACAAAGAGAAGGGGAAGGGGCUUAUUUAUAGGUAAGUAGAAGUGGGCUCCACCAUAUAUAUUUACAACAGACAUCUAUAUAUUAUUGUUUUUUAGGGACUAUCUAUGCUAGAAAGGAAAAAGUUCUAGCCUCCUCUCUCUCAAAAAAAAAAUAAAAAACUCUCUGAGUCCUUUUUAUUUUGAGGGGGAGGAAGUCAUUGUUCUUCCCCCCUUUCCGUUCUUCUUUUCUUCGCUUAUCUUCUUCUCCCAUUCUAAAAAACAGAAGGCUUCCACUAUUUGUCUUAUUUUAUUAUGAUUUUCCUUUAAUCAUUACAGACGGUUGAGUUACGGUGUUGGAUCUCUACUUGCGUUUCGCCGUUGGAUUUCCACCACCAUCCUUUUUGUGAUUUUUUUUAUAUAUUUGGAAUAAGUCGCAAAGACUCUUUGAGUUUUCUCUGUAGUUUUCACAUCUCCUUUUGUGAGAACUUUUCACCUUUCUUUUAUGAGAGCUUUUCAUAUCUUCUUUAUGAGAGUUUUAUUUGUAUUGUUAUGAUUUGAUUUUUUCAAGUUUUAUAUCUUUUUCAUUAUUCUGAGUUUGCAAUCUUAGUUGGAAUGCUUAUGCUAAAGUUUCUUCGAUCAUGCGUGAUCGUUAGUAGAGGCGCACAAAAUUGUCUUAAUUUUGAUGUUAAAUUGCUCUGUUAUUGUAAUGGCCCUUUGUGGCUAGUAGCUUUUUUGGUUAUUUAUGAAUGCAACCACAGAAUUUCUUAACUAAAAGAAAAAAGAAAAGGAAAAAGCUUGGCAGGGAGCCCAUCCUCCAAACAAAUAGAGUUUUGACACUUGGGAAAUUCCUUUUAUUUGUUUUGAAUUCCUUUUAACUUUAUUUCUUUCGAAAUUUUUUAAGUGUCAAAAUCUAAUUUAUUGUAAUGAUGUUUUCUUUCUCAAUUUUAAGGAGCCAAUCCAUGCUCUAGAAAAGAGCUGUAGUAAUUUAUGCUUUGAGAAGACACUGUAGGGGCUUUCGAAGGUGGAUAGAUUGGAUUUAGGGAAGCUGAGUUGCAGUGUGAUUUGGCAGUGGAAGCUGAGUUGGGAUUGGAAUUUGGACAAGAAGAAAGAGAAAGUUGCUGGAAGGACAACUUCGCCCUCAAUAUUGACAGAAAAAUGGAUGAUAUGUUUCAAAUUUGACAAUAGGGAGUAGAUUGACAAAAAAAAUUAGUUUGUAUCCUUAAUUGACUAAAAAAAGUUCAAAUUGGAAAAUCGAAAAUUACUUGAUAGUCCGGGACACAAUUCGGCAAUUUACUAAUGAAAUGAUUGCAUUACUAGCGUGUGUGAGGGUUUUGUAUAUAUGAUGGAUAUUCAAAUUAUUCAAUUAGGCCCCUUGUGACUUAUCCACUGCGACUAUAAAGGCACCCAAUUUUAUUUUUUUUGGUCGGAUAAAGGCACCGAAUUUGACGAUGAGAAUUGGACCCACCAUCCAGCCAAUUAAAUAGAACAUCACUCUCCACCGUCAGAUUGUCCAAAGUUAAAAAAAAGACCCAUCCCAUCUUAUCUCAACCCUUACUUUUAGUACAAACUUUCAUGUCAAGCAUCAUCAAUCCAUCACAGAUCUCUAAACACGGAGGAAACACGAGCGGACACGUAAGUGCCGACCUCCUGCCACGUGGCGCAAACCCAGUGCACCCGCUACCUCCUCUGUAUUUUACCCAAUAAAUCCAUUGAAGAUCCACCUCCUAUAAAUAGCUGCGAAAAUAUAAAUCUCAGCAACAAGGCUGCAAGUGCUAAAUCUAAUCUAGUGUUGAUCUCUUUGUUCGUAUUAAUAUUUUGUUGUUGGUGUGUGCGCUCUGAAAAUGUCUGAGUUGUUGGAAAAAGCCAAGAACUAUGUGGCUGAGAAAGUGGGUCAUGUGAAGAAGCCAGAGGCAGAAGUCACAGAUGUGGAUUUCAAGACGGUGAGCUUUGGAUCUGUUGAGUACCUUGCAAAAAUCUCUGUGACCAAUCCCUAUGGAGUUGACCUCCCCAUCUGUGAUAUCACUUACAACCUCAAAAGUGUUGGCAGGUUCCAAUUCUCACUUUCUAACACUUAGGGUUCAAUUUUUAUUUGUUUAUUUUUGUUAUAGAUGCUCAUUUGAUCCCUGUGUUUUGCUUGAAAUUUCUAAUUUGAUUUUUGUGUUUUCAAUUUCGUCAAUUUGGUCCCCUAUUUUCAUUUUCAUAAUGUGUAAGAAUCAAGAUUGUCAAACAUCGAAAUAGAUUACGGUCAAAUUAGGCAAAGGGAUCCUGAUUGUCAAAUUCAAAGCAUAGAGAACAGAAUAAAAAUUUGAACAGAACAUACGAUUGGUGUUGUGGUGUUGGUUUUACUUUGUUGGAAGAUAUCUCGAGUUCAAAUGCGAUCAAUACACAAUUUUUUGAUUUAAAAAAAAAAUAGAUUAGUUUCUAUGCCAUGAUCAUAUAUAUAAAGUGACUUGAUUUGUAUGUGUACAUGUGAAUUUGUAGGGAGAUUGUAUCUGGAACUGUACCAGAUCCUGGUUCCAUAGAAGGAAAGGACAUUACUGUGCUUGAGGUACUAUUAAAGGUGCCACAUAACAUAUUGUUGACCUUGGCAAAAGAUAUUGGAGCAGAUUGGGACAUUGAUUAUGAGCUGGAUAUAGGCCUCACCAUUGACCUUCCUGUCUUUGGCAACUUCACCAUACCACUUAACAAGAAGGGAGCGAUCAAGCUUCCCAGCCUCUUCUGAUCCAUAUGACCUUUGAGAUUCUAUGGCUUUGGUUAUAUUCUGUAACUUUUCUUUUGUUGUUAAUACAAGUACAUUAAGAAAUGGACUGUCUUUGCUCAGCAACCCCCUGUUUUUUGGGUGGGUGUAAUUCAGUUGGUUGAGCUCUUUCACCUCUAUCUAUGUAUGUAUGCAGAAGUUCAAAAUUCCCACACACCCAUGGGUAUUUGUGUAAACCCUCUCUCCAAUCACUUGUACUAAAAAAAUAUAUUGAAUUUUUUUUUUAAUGUUUAUUUUAUAUACAAAUGAUAUUGGGAAGGAUAAUUGAAUCCAGGAGUUUGGUCAUAGUAAAUAUUCUUAGUUAUUUAAUUAAAAAUAUAAUAAAACCGUAACAAGUUUGACCAAAGCCAAAGUUGGGGAAUUACAAAAGCAGGAACAACAGGGGAAAGGGACGAGAAGGAAUAUAGUGGCCUUAUUAAACAAGUAAAAGACCCAAAAUAUUGCUUCCACAACAUGGUGAAUCUACAGAACAAAUUCUAUUUUACCGGAUGGAAAUAAAAGGAACCCAGUUCUUUAUUUAUAUUUUGGAGCUAUAUACAAGAAAGAGAUGCAAGAAAAGGAUCAUGGUUGGCCAUAUAUACAUCAACCUAAGCUCUCCUUGUCCACGGGGAGCAUAACAAAUAAGCUCAAAGUUAAUUACAAAUUUACAAAUAUCUCUUCCUCUUCAAUAGUGAUGCAAAGAAGUGCAACUUUUGUUUCUUCUGCGUUUUCGAAUACGUUUUGGAAAGUGUCACAGUUAGCGGGCAAUGCCAAAAACUAUGUAGUGAACCUGGCCAAGGGCUUUUUGGAACGGAGAUUGUCUGAGAUGAAGAAAAGAUCUGCGUUUAUUGUGGGCCUUCAAUUUGAAAACCUAAACUUCGACUCCAUAGAACUCGUUUUCAAGAUCUCCGUGUACAACCCCUUCGAGUUUUAUCUUCCCGUCAGUCGGGCCACUUUCAAAUUAGAAAGCGGCGGCAGGUUUGAUUCAAAUUUCAUACUAUCGGUUGUUUAAAAUAAUGUGUUUAUAUCUCUCUCAUCAAAUGAUUUUAGUCACGUAGUGAUUGAAAUAAGCAUACCUAUAACACUUUUGAUCUCUUUCUGUGUUCGAUAACAUAACAUGCUAAACUAUUUGUCAAAAAUUAACGUCUUUUCGUGAACAUAAAUGAAUUUUGGAUUGUAUGAUUAUGCAAGCUCAUUUGGAAUAUAUUGAUUGUUUUCUACCAUAUAUGUGCAUGUGAGUGGAGCAGCGAGGCUUUAUCAGCGACGUUGAAAGAGCCUGCGUCACUGAAGCCGGGAGAAGAGUCCAUUUUGUUGGUGUUGGCGAAGGUGCCAUUCAGUAUGCUCAUGACCUUGGCAAAGGACAUUUCUGAAGAUGCAGAUAUUGACUAUGAGAUCGAUUUCAACAUCCAAAUUAAGCUUCCUAUCAUUGGGGUCGUUUCCUUGCCAAUACCUUGCCAACAACAGGGCCAGCUCAAGAUUUCUGAUCUGUUUACCAAUUUGUUGGAGGAAAUUAAUUAAUACUCUGUGAUGCCUUGGAGAGGGAAAAAAAUAAAAUAAAGAUCUCAUUGGUUGGGAUCCAUAAUAACCCAGAAGCUUAAGAAAUACAAAUUUACCAUGACUAUAUUAAUGAUGAAAUUAAACUUAUCAUAUAAAUCAUGAGCCAAGAAGACCAAGGGAUUCUUUUAGCUUGUGUAAUGGAUUUUGUGGAUUCUUACCCAAAUAAGACAGUUUAUAUGGGAAAUGUGUAUGGAGGGGAGAGUCAAAGACUCGUUUUAAUGGUUCGGCUCUAAAAUUACAAAGAGGGAUCCUCUAUAAAUCCAUAAGUACUGAAUAUUAAAUAAAUUUUUUAGAGCCCCAUUAUUUGGAAAAAUAUAAAAGCAAAUGCAAUGAUUAUUAAGCGGAUCACUAAAAAUUUGCGAACUCAUCUCCUACCAUAUUUGCUUCACUAAACAUCGAGUUAAGCCUACGUAUAUAGUCUGAAGAUUGAAGAGCUCCUUACUUCAGCUUAUAUAUGUUGAGUGUUGGCUAGUUAUGCCACGUGUCCCAGUCACAUUGGAUUGGUACAAAAUAAAAAAGUUUAAAAUAAUAGUCAGACGGGGAUGUAGCUCAGAUGGUAGAGCGCUCGCUUAGCAUGCGAGAGGUACGGGGAUCGAUACCCCGCAUCUCCACUUCCACUCCAAUUCUUCCUUUAUUUUUUGGUCCAUUUGUAUGAGUUUUUAGGAGACAAAGUCAAACAGUUCUUUGUUAAAACCAAAGGAUUUAUGACGUCAAAUUUUAUUGAUUUUGCAUAGUGGCUCUGUCACCUACCCGGAACAUACAAAAAUUUCUCAUUUUCUUUCCUAUAAAUUAAAAAAACCAUAUAUAAACUCCACCAUCCAAUUAUUUAUACUCUCAACGAACAAAUCCAUCUUAUUUUAUUAGUCCAUGUGGGAUUAUACAAUAUUGUGCUCAACCCCAUAUGUCAACACUUACCGUUAAUACAUUUUCUUGUGGUGGCUGGCCAAUUACAAUUAGGACAAUUUAUUCAGUAAUUACUAGACCAAAACCCUCUUUUUUUCUUAUUAAUAAUAUUUAUUAAUUAAUUAAGCCCCUGUAAGACUUUCCUCCUCAUGGCGGCUGUCAAAGUCUAAAUAGAAAACCAACCAGAGAUAUUCCUCCUUCACACCUUCAUGGCAGAACAUUCAAAGUCACGGACACGUUAGUUCACAAAAUUUUCCUCACUGCCUUUCACUUUUGGUUCUUUUGGUCACAACAAAUAGAGAAAACAUACAACAUAAAAAAACUCAUUUUUCAUGUUCAUAGUCUCUCAAGAACUCAAACAUGGCUGAUCACAAGGAUCAACAUCAGCAGCAGCAACCCCAUGGCUCAAAGAGAGAAGAAGAAGAAGUCAUAACAACAUUUUCUCCCACGAUAUUUUCUCCCAAGUCAUUUCCCAGGAGAAGAAGAAUCAAAUACUGUGGAAUUGUCAUUGCACUUGUUCUGCUCCAGAUUGUAGUGCUUGGGGUGCUUUGCCUCACUGUCUUUCGCUUCAGGGAUCCCAACGUCAAGCUGGCUGCAAUUUCUGUCGAGAAUUUCAGCCCGGCGCUUGGAACAUCCACUGCCAUCAACAUGACACUGAGGGCAGAAAUUAAGGUGAAGAAUCAAAACUGGGGAAAGUUGAAAUAUGAUGAGAGUGUUUUGGUUGUGUCACAUGAGGGUUCUACAGUUGGAGAAGGAACAAUUCCAAAAGGGUCUAUUAAGAUGAGGCACAGCAAGCAGGUGAGCGUUUCGGUGGAGGCAAAGCUUGAUGGUAUAUCAUCAUCAAGCAGUGAUAUUAGUUCAGGGGUUUUGAAUUUGAAGAGCUAUGCCAAGCUGAGCGGGAAGGUGAGUAUGGUGGGUCUGGUGAAGAAAAGAAGAAGUGGGGAAAUGAAUUGCAGUUUGACAAUUAGUUUGGCCAGGCAGGCAAUCCAGGACUUCCACUGCCAAUGAAAAUUCUGACUCGGAAGAGGAAGGAAACUUAUUGCUUUCUUCUUCUUUUUAGUCUGGAAUUUUUUUAUUGACUUUACAGUUUUUAUCUGGAGUCUCUCUGUUGUAGUUUUCUGUGAUACUUGUGCUGAUUAUUGUAUAUGCCUUUAUUUGUAAACAUUUUUUGUACUUGAGUUUUAGCAUGUUCAACCUAAACUAGCUGAAUGAAAUCUUCAAUUUGUUUUUCCUUGCUUAAUUUUCUUAUGCAGAGGCAAUGCAGAGAUUAAACAACUGAAUGAAAUCUUUAGUAAGUUUUUAGUACAGUCUGACAUACCAAACGAGCCCAUUACUGCAAUAAUUUGGUGCUGCUUUUAUUCAUCUUUUAAAGAUGGUUUGGUUUGCAGUGAGGAACCAAAAUCCAAAACCACCAUGGUUGAAACUUGAGAGAAAAAGUUAGAGACUUGCAGCAAGCAACAAAGACAACGAAAUAUCCUGAUCUGACUUUUCAAAAAUUGAUGCAAUUACUCCAGUGAUGGAUUCAUUUUUCUUUCCCUAGACCCUUAAAAACUAUGUUGCUUUCAAGGAUUUAGUCAAGGGAAAGAACAUGUAUUGAUAUUCUUGAAAGUAGCUAGCUAGGUCCAGCAGAAGCUUCUUUGAAUUUGAUGGUAGAUGUUUACGUGUUCUCAUCUCUAGUCUCCACAACUAAGUCAACUACAUUAGUUUGGAGCUUGAUUUUUGUAUAUGCACUCAACACACGCAAACAUGCAUGCAAGUUUUUACACCCAACUUUAGUUAUCUCUUUUUAUUUCUAUUGCUAUGCUUUGUUUAAAAUGGUUUUGGUGAAACUGAUGGGAAAAGUCAGGCCCGCAAGAUUCUAAAGGGCUUUGGCUAGGUUUGACAUGCAACAACACUUGUGUUUUGUCCCAUGGCUUUAAAUUUGACAGGCCCAAAAGGUGGGAAGUUGGGAAUUUGGACCGAUCCUAUAUAUGAAAGUUGGAAUCCAAUUCAUAAAUCACAUAAAACAAGUGUGGAACGAGUGAUUAUUUGGUCGAAACAUGCCAUUCUUAUAUGGAAUAACCAAUAUUCACCAAUAUUAUAACACAUAACAUGUAAUUUAAUAACAUUUCAAUACGUAUCAUAUAAUAGUUUCUCACAUAUCACCGUCUCAUAAAAUCAAAAUUAAAUUAAAUUAAUUGUAUUAGCUACACAGUGGGGAUCACCAUUUGUUUGCACUUGGUACCAGGCAAAGAGAAGAGGGUUAAAGAAACAAUCGCCAAGCAAUUAGUCACAUAGUGGAAGUAGUAGGUAAUGAGCAACAUCUAUCUUUUUUAUACUUUACAAAGUAAAACCUAGUCAAAAAGAAGGUUAGGCCUUUUCCGUUAUGAAGCCUCUUUAUAUUGUAGUAAUGCUGGUAGAUGAAAUGUUAUGAUGCUAACUAUAAAUAUAAAUCUCGUCAAAACAAAAGGGUGCCGGGGAAAGAAAGGCUUCCUUCCUUCCAUCCAUUUAUUUAAUAUAAAUAAAUGGAAGAUGAGAAAGUAGUUAAAAGUUGGUGGCACACUAGGGAAUAAUUAUACAAAUUAUAAUAAAGGAGAUUCAUUAUUAUAUCCAAUACAAGAGUUCAAAUUAUAAAAAAAUACUAUAUAAAAUGGACUUUAGAAACACACCCAAAUUUAUUUACAAUAAUUUUCUGUUUUAGAUGAUAAUGGUCAAUUGCAUGAAAUAAUUAUAUUUAGAAUUUCAUAUGGUUUGUCUCACUCAAGUAGGCACCAGCACUACCAUAUUUGACAAUCCUUAAAGAGACCUCCCGUCUGCAUAAAAUCAAUCACUCUCAGAAUUUAUCAUAUUAUUAGAUCGGAAUUUAAUUAACUUACUCUAGUGCAGCAAUUCAGUUCUUUCAUAUUUCAUUCAAUUAUCCCUAAAACGAUGCGUUUUGCAUAUCUACAAUAUCAAUAUAGAAAAUAUAAAUAAAGACUCUUCAUCACAUCUAACAAGAGGGGGAUUCAAACUUUGGUAAAAAUGGGACGAGUUCAAUACUUUAGCCAAUUGGCCUAAAUCCACAUCUACCUUCGUAAUUGUGUUGAUGUACCUAAAAAAAGUCAUUUGUUCAAAUUUUAUAUGAAUAAUAAAUCUGAAAAGAAAAAAAAUUCAUUGUUCAGAGUCUCAAAUAGUAGCAGCUUCAUACUACAAUUAUGUGUAAACUUUAGUGGAAGUCAAUAUUGAACAGCUUGAAAUAUUUUGGGUAGGCAAAAGGCACAACAAUAUGUGCCAACAUUUUGUAGGAAACUCAUACUUAGCCCAUACAUAUACAUACUCCCACUUCCCCCUAAACAAACACUAUAAAAAUACACUACAUUCAUUUACAUAUUAACACCAACUCUUCCAAAACCUCAGCUUUCCUUAACCCCUCUCUCCUCCCCAUCUCUUCUCAACCCUCUAGCCAUGGUGGAGAAGGAGCAGGUCAGACCACUAGCCCCCGCCGCCAACGGCCAGAGCAGCGACGCAGACGAGGCCGCCCUUCACUCAAAGAAAUUUGGACUAAAAAAGUUCAUCUACUGCUGUGGCGGCAUAACAGCCUUGCUCUUAAUCCUAGCCGUGGUGAUCAUAAUUCUAGCGUUCACUGUGUUCCGCUUGAAGGAGCCAAAGAUCAAAAUGAACAAAGUCACAGUUACAAGGCUGGAGCUGAUCAACGACAACACAACCCCAAAGCCAGGCUCCAACAUAUCGUUAACAGCCGAUGUGUCGGUGAAAAAUCCCAACGCGGCUUCGUUUAGGUACAACAACACCACCACCACUCUGUAUUAUCACGGCGUGGUGGUGGGGGAGGCUCAUGGCUCGCCGGGCAAGGCUAAGGCCCGACGGACCAUGAGAAUGAAUAUAACUGUUGAUGUCAUAACUGAUCGGCUCACAUCAAAUCCCAAGUGGGGGGCGGACGUGGGAUCGGGGUUAUUGACUAUGAGUAGCUAUUCUAGGAUUCCAGGGAGGGUGAAUAUGUGGAAUAUUAUCAAGAGACAUGUGGUUGUGAAGAUGAAUUGUACCAUGACCGUUAACAUUUCCAGCCAGGCAAUUCAAGAACAAAAAUGCAAGAGGAAAGUUACCUCUAGGUUUGUAGUUUAUUUAUAAGGUUUUUAUGUGGAGAAGAGUGAGUAGAAUAUACGGAGUAUAUGGAUGUAAGCUUUUAUAAAUAUGGUUAUAUGAUACGUGUAGAAUUGUACUUUAACUCAAUGGUAUAUCAUCACCAAAGAGUUUAAACGAACUCGAUAUAAAAGGCGAACACAUUGACCUCACGGGAGAGUUGUUAUUAUAUCGUUAGAUUAUUAAACAUAUAAUAUGAUACAUCAUCCCUUUCAUUAGUCUUUGUUUAUUCUGAUUUUCUUCAAUAUUGAAUCACUCCACUCCAGCACUUUGCCGGUACUUAUAGCCAAUGCCCAGAAGUCAAUAAUGGAUCAUAAAAUAAAAUAGCGUAUGUGUGAUGACAUGCUUAUGUAAACAGCUCUCCUAAGGAUAUUUAAACAAAUUAAUAAUUUUAGAUUAGUUUGGAUGCCAACGUUCCUUCAAUGGCAUUUGAUUAUUUCCAAGUGGUCUGGCUUUUGGGGGCCAAAUCCAAAUUCUUUGAUCAAAGAAGAUAGCGUUGAUCAAAAUAUCACACGUAUUGUAUAAAAGAAAAACAAUUCAAGUCGAAGCUCAGAGUAUACAGAGCUCUUAGCUAGAAAGGAGAAAGAUCUCGUCUACUUUCCCAACAUAGCAAGUUCAUGAACACUUCGUGAUCUUUUAACAUUCUAAAUCUAGGGAUUUUACUUCAUUUUUGUUUUCAAAAAUUAGUUUAUAAUUUAAUGUAUAAUAUUGAAAAUUAUCCACGUUAUAACACAUGUGGAUUGAUUAUAUGACAUGACAAUGUUUUUAAAAUACACACAAGUCUCCUGCUUCAUAAUACUUAAACUUAGAUGUAUGAAUGUCAAUGAGGUUUAGUCCACUGAAAAAUGACAUUGAGUUGCAGACAAGUUUUGAACCUUGUUAGUGUAAACUCAGGCCAUGUUUGGGAUUGCUUUUUUUCGCCAAAAACCUGCUUUACUUUAAAUUUAAGCAAUUUAAGGUGUUUGGUAAAAAUAAAAUAUCCCGAUUAUUUUAAAAGCAGUAGCCUUUUGACAGCAGCUUUUAAAAGCAGGCUUUGGGUUGCUUUUCAGAGCUGCUUUCAAAAAAAGUAGAGAUGAACAUUUAAUGAAUUUUUUUAAUUCCCAAAAUACCAUAAUUCAUUUUUAAAAAUGACACUACCUCCACUUCCACAUCCAACUCCAUCACUUGAACCACCACAUUCACUACCUCCACAACCACCGCCACUGCCACUAUUACCACCAUCACCACCACCACAUCCUUCUCCUCCUCAUCCUUCACCACCACCACUACCACAACCACCACCUCCACCACCACCACCACCUCUUCCACCUCCACAACCACUGCCACCACUACCACCACCACCACCACCACCACCACCACCACAUCCUUCUCCUCCUCAUCCUCCGCCAUCACCACCACAACCAUCUCCUCCUCCAAAACCUCCACACAUCCACCACCACCUCCUCCACCACCUCCACCACCACCACCACCACUACUAGCACUACCACCACAACCAUCUCCUCCUCCAAAACCUCCACACAUCCACCACCACCUCCACAACCAACACCACAACCACCACCAUGCUGCCACUACCACCACCACCUCCACAACCUUCAUCCCCACCUCCACCACUACCACAACCACCAACUCCACCUUCAUCACCACCACCACCUCCACUCCAUCAGUACCACUACCACCACAUGAUUAGUACAUAAUACUUUUAACAUCAUGUAUGUUUUAGUCAUUAUUCACAGUUACAACAAUUUUAUAUUAAAAUUUAACAAAUAAUUUUGACACUGCUUUUUGUACUGACAGCACUUUAAAAAUAUUGUUUACCAAACAUAGAGCUGCUUAUUUUACAGCUAAUUAUUUUCAAAGCACAUCAAAAGUAACUUUUUAAAAAAAUGACAGCAAUCCCAAACUAGGACUUAAAUUUAGACAUUUAAACUGAGAGAUCUGAAUACCAACCAUACUGUACUAAUAGCUUUAUUUUUCAUUUCUUAACUUAAAGAAAAAUGAAAGCCCAAGCCCAACUCAAAACCCAUAAACCAUGCAAAUACAAACAAAAUCAAAUCCUAAUAGUCGUUCUACCCACCACCCAAAAAAAAUGAAGGAAAAAAACAAGAGAAAAUUUUAGUUGUAACAUGGAUAACGCGAUUUUCUUAUUCCGAACAAUAAUGUUAUGUCACACAAAACUGUAAUCACUGCAUAUGAAUAGCAAAAUUGUGAUAUUCCUUAAGUUUUCCUUGAAAAUUAGGGUGAUAAUCACUACCACUCGCUCACCACUCACAUUUUCCCACCAAUUUAAUGCUGUCUCUGGUGUGAGUAUUAAAUGCAGCAGCUGGAGCACCCACCCACCUUCUCUCCUCUCACCCCCCAAAAAAAAAUCACCCAACUCCCAAUGGCUAAAACCCCCCUUCCUCCUCCCCUCCUCUUCCAAUGUCGUCCGCCCCAAACCCCACCCACCCCUCCACCCAAAAUUACCUAACUACCCUCGGACUCGGCUACGGCAUCGCCAUUGCGCUCGGCUUCCUCGUCCUCUUCUCCACUCUCCUCCUGGCUUCCUACAUCUGCUGCCGCGUCUCCCGCCACCACCACCACCCGCCUCCCAACCCGAACCGGAACCCGAACAACUCCGACGGCGUCAUCCUCCCCCGAAUCAUCUUCGUCGCCGAGGACGACAACGACCAGCAGCAGCAAGACGAUGAGAACGCCGUCGUCGGGAUCCACCAGAGCGUCAUCAACUCCUACCCCAAGUUCCCCUUCUCCAAGGAAGUGGCGGCCGCCGAUUCGUCCACGUGCUCCAUCUGCUUGUGCGACUACAAGGACGCCGAGAUGCUCCGGAUGAUGCCCGAGUGCAGGCACUACUUUCACCUGAUGUGCCUCGACGCGUGGCUCAAGCUCAACGGGUCGUGCCCGGUUUGCCGGAACUCUCCGUUGCCGACGCCCCUGUCGACUCCGUUGCAGGAGGUCGUGCCUUUGUCUCAGUACCCGGCCGAUCGGAGAUGGAGGAGGUGACUGAUUGUCCUGAUUGACUGAUAUCUUCUUUGGUUUUUAUCCUUUUAUUUUUUAUUUUUAGUUUGUUUGUUUUGGGUUUAGGGUUUUCUGUUUUCUAUUGGUGGUGUUGGUUUGGGAAUUGGGAAAUGUAAAUUUGGUCUUUUCUUCUUCUUCUUCUUCGGGUACUGAUUUUGUGAUAUUAGUGAAGUGGAUUAUGCACAAACAACUUGUGUCUCAUGGAAUUUGAUUAAUGUUAAUUACUUUGAUUUGGGUGAUGAUAAAGUUUUGGAAUUCAUUUUUAAUCAUCUACAUACAUGGUUGCCAACUUGCCAUGGAGACCCUUGUGAAUUUUGUUUGUCAUUCACUUAAAGCUUCUUGUGUGUUUUUCUUUCUUGCUUGGUACCUAAUCAUGUUGAGUACUUGAAAAAACCAAUCUAACAGUAAAUCUGGUACCAAUUCUUUCUUCAAUCACAAGGGUCAUAGGGUUAGGGUUGCUUGUGCUUCAAUUCAGCUUUCCGUAAGAUAUUUGCUAUUUUUUCUCGAAAGGGGGGGACUUGGAGCUUUGAAAAAAAGUCAAAUUUAACUAUGCAAGCAUUGUGCAGCAACAGUGUAGCACGUGUUUGUUCAGUGUUGCGGCUGAUCCUCUAGAUGUCUCUUAAUCACACUGCACAAUAACAUAAUUACCACAUUUCUAAUGUUUGAUUAAUUCACCCUUCACUUUUUUUUUUCUUAAAUUUGAAGGAAAAGGAAUUAAAAAAGGUGAGGAUAAAGAAGAACUGAUCCCCAUAUUCUUAAUAAAACAAGAAAUCAAUCCUUCUCAAUGACUUUUGCAUUCUGAUAAAGUGCUCAUGAAAAUCUGCCCAAUAAGCUCUUCGAUCAAAUAAAACAAAUGCAACCUUUGGACUCUGAUCUCAAAGCUUCCAAUCUCUAUGCACCCUUUAGAUUUGAAUUGUUGCUGAAAAUCAUUGGGGUUAUGUUUGGUUAGCGCUUAUUUCGAAAGCUGCUUUUCUUUUCUGUAGCAGCAUACAAAUUCCAGCUUUUCAUCUCAGUGUGAAAGAUAUGGGGAAACCAAAUGUUUUUAAUAAGUUAGGAACAUGGAGAGGAGGAGUUCGCAGCUCGAUCUUUGUAUUAAGUAUCUUUGCUCUUCUCAUCUCUCUUGGUACUUUGUCCAAAUUCAACUCUCUCGGAUCAUUUCAUGUCACUGAUACUCUCUGCAAUUAUGUAAACCCUGAGAGCCAAAGCAGGCCAGACAGCCAUGUGAGAAGAACUCUUGAAACUGUUAUUCAGAAAAUCCAACAAGAGCUCGACAAGUUCAGAGAUUCAGAACCAGAGCCGUCUUCAUCGAAACAUGUACUGAAAUACAAUUCCUUUCUUGCUGAUAUUUUGGGGCAUAUUGAGUCAGUGCGGACAUCUCUGUCACAGAAUGAAGAGACUCAUGAGCUGAACAGUGGUGCCAAAGACAUCCAUCCUCUCUUAAAACCGAAGCAGCAGUCCGAUGAGCCUGCAGAUUACUUUCUGAUCGAGGAGAUUCGAAAGUAUGUCAAGAUCAAGCCGAAUAGAUUAGGAAAGCAGAAUUUCAUGGGAGCCAAUGGAACUUUCACCAGUAUUGGCCAUGCUUGCUUUGCUAUGAAGAAAGAGCUUGAAGAAUACAUGGACUAUGACAUUGGUGAAAUCUGCAAUGAUGAUUGGAGGCUGGCUCAGAAGCUAAUGGUUCAUGGAUGUGAUCCACUUCCAAGGAGGAGGUGCUUUUCCAGGGCCCCAAAGCUAUACAGCAAGCCAUUUCCAAUUCAUGAGUCCAUGUGGAAGCUCCCUGAUAAUCGAAAUGUCCGGUGGAGCAACUACAGGUGCAAAAACUUUACUUGCUUGGCAAGCAACAAGACUCAAAAGGGGUUCUUCAAAUGUGCAGAUUGCUUCAAUCUUCAAGACCAUGAAAAGCCCAGAUGGAUCAAACCAGCAUAUCUAGACACCAAUUCAAAUGUGACUGCAGAUUUCCUCAUCCCUGAAGUGCUUAACAUCAAGCCUGGAGAGAUCAGAAUUGGACUGGAUUUUAGUGUAGGAACUGGGACUUUUGCAGCCAGGAUGAGGGAAUUCAAUGUCACUAUUGUCUCAGCAACUAUCAAUCUUGGGGCACCUUUCAAUGAAAUGAUAGCUCUUCGUGGACUCGUCCCACUUUACUUGACGAUCAAUCAACGGGUGCCAUUUUUCGAUAACACUCUGGAUUUGAUCCACACAACAAGAUUUCUAGAUGGUUGGAUUGAUUUUGUGCUGCUGGACUUUGUUUUGUAUGAUUGGGACAGAGCUCUGAGGCCUGGGGGUUUCUUGUGGGUUGACAGCUUCUUCUGUUUGAAGGAGGAUUUGAGUGAUUAUUUGGAAGCCCUUAGGAUGCUGAGAUAUAAGAAGCACAAAUGGGUUGUUGUUCCAAAGCUUGAUAAAGAUGAUAAAGAGGUUUUCUUUUCUGCUCUAUUAGAAAAGCCGGGUAGACCUUUCCGGUAAUCUUAGAUUUGAUCUUAAUUAUGUCUGCUAAUCACAUAAUUGAUCUUAUGUCUGAUAAUCUUUAUUGUGUUUACAUGAACUUAAAAUUUUGAAUAUGAUUUCAUUUCCAGUUAGAUGAGGUUCAAUGUGAAUGUGAUGUGUAUGCUUAGUUUUUUCUGCCACAAGGGAAAAGUUUCAGCAGAGUCCAUUUUUUCUUGUCAAAAAAAUAAUAAUGACCAGAAAUUAGAGGAGUUCACACGGCCAUUUUGCAUUGUAAGAGCUGUUUGUCAAUUUCAGUCAUCAAUUUUCCCAUUUUUCCUUGCUGCAGAUAAGGGUCCACAAAUGUCAAGUCGAAGAAAAAGACACUAAUAUUAGGUAUAUUGUUUUGCGGACCAGUAGCAUGAAACUUGUAGAUGUAGCGGUUGCCCAACUUCAAAUCUAUUCAAAAUGUUAGGAUUAGUAGCUUAUAUUUUCUAGUCGUUGAUAAACAUGAGACUCGUAAUGCAUCAACGCAUGGGUGACUCUCUAGUCAAAUUCUUGCCAAAAACAUGAAGCCAAAAUAAAAAAUAAGAGAGCCUGCAUCUUGAAGGGUCCUGUGACAUGAGGGCAGGAAGAGUCUUUGUGAUCCACGGGCUUCAGGCCCCUCAUUUGAUAAUUGUUUGCAAAUCAAAUAGCUGCAAUUUUUUUUCUCUUGCCAAAUAAAUACUACUGCAUGAUAAAGAAUGGACAUCUAUCAUCAUUUUCAUUUCAAGGGUAAAAUCUUGAUUGAUUGUGACUCAAAUGUCGACAGUCGAUGCACAUUCUUUUUAACGGACUCGGAUUGCUGUCCAGUGGGCCGACUGGCCCAGAGCUCUACCAGAAACUGGCGUAUUCCGCCAACCAGAAAGAUUCCAAGGUCCCAUGCCCAAGAAAAGAUAAAGAAGAAAGAUUCAAAAGCUGCAUUAACAGCUUAAAAGUGUAAAAACCCUCUUGUAAAGUUUAAUAAAUUACAAACAAUUAUCUUUCAUCUGGAGAGUUAAUUUGUACUCGAAUCAAGGUAAAAUAAUAGCUAACAAAAUACUUUAGAAAGUUGAAACUUUACAACUUUCCUAUUUUAGUGCUUAAAAGUAAGCCUAAAAGCUCUGAGUUAUGAUGCCGACUCAUGCCAAUUUUAUUUACCGUGCAAAUUUGGCAUCUUUUUUUUUUCCAUCCUAGAUCUUAGGUUUUGUCUGAAGCGGAAAAUAAUAGCUCUCAAUUAUUAAGGAAAAUAAAUACCACUUCAAGAAAUAGUGGCGACUUUGACAAAAAAUCAAAAGAAAAACGAAAUAGUGGCAAGUCAUGCUAAAACAAAUUACUCAGACAUAUUUUCGGUGAGAAUUCAAUUCACGAGCUUUCAAUGCCUAAAUUAUAGACUUUUUUGAAGUAGAAAAAACCUCUUGUUCAUGUGUAAAACCUACCAACUGUUCAUACAAUUAAUUUUUGUUCUACUUAAUUUCGUUAUAAACUUGACAAAGUUUUAAAAUUUAAAUUGAUCCCUAAAACCAUCCCCAUCACAAAACAAAAAAAAUGAAG